CUUGAGUGUGACGCGAUCGGGAGGGGGAGGCGGUCGCACUGGGGGCGGCGCAACGCGGCUCGGGCCCGCCAGUGCCCCAACGGGGCCCUAGUUUUGUUUGUUUUUUUUCUCAGCAGAGGGGUCUUGUCUCCUGAUUUGAUUUGGCAUGUUGGAUCAGGUUUUCCCAGUCAACAGUUGGCAGGAUAGCAAUGAGAAGUUUACAGUUUGACCAAUCAGAAGCAAGCACUUGGCAAAUUUAGGUGUUAGAUUUUAAACAGAAACUUCUAGGUGUGAGAAUCAGUCGAUAAGGGUUAAUGAAGAUGGUGAAAACCUUAAAAAAAAACAUUGUUGGAUAGUAGGUUACAGCUUUGAACAAGACCUAAGCAUUUUGCCUUUUUUUCUCCACACUGACUGUCUCCUAAAUGCUGAUCCCAUAAAUGAUUGUGGGGUACUCUCAAAGGUCCCAUAUUCUGCAAAAUUCACUUUGGAAUGAUUUUCUAACAAUAGUAUGCCUCCCCAGCCUGUCUACAAACCCCCCAAAAUGAGAAAAUUCUAUCCUCUCCCUCUUUUGCUUGAUCCACCUUUCAUAAAAUGUCUGCUCAAAGGGGUGGAUUGAAACUAUCGACUUCCAUGAUGUCAUGGACUGUGAUAACUCCUCCCCUUCAAGUUGGUGACCCUGCCCAAGAUUUUUGUUCUGCCCCCUGAAAAUUUCCACUUAAGUGCUAUUUUCCUCCCUCGCAAAAGCUGGUUCGAAAUGGGAUACGACAAAGGCACGGCAGUUGCUCUGUUGUUGGCUGCAGGAAGCAGCAGAGGAGUCUGUUUCUGUAGACUGCAAGAACUGCAAGAACAUAGUCCCGGGAGAUAACUAUACUUAAAGUAUUUUGCAUUCAAGAAGACAGCGGAGAUGUUAGCAGGAGUAUGUAAGUCACUGUGGACCAACACAUGAACAAAGUAAGAAGAAAAAUAUGGAGACUCAUAAUAUUUGUAACUAACCAUUCAGAAAUGUUUUGCUGUAGCCGCAGAGUUGGAAUUUCUUUAGGAGCCUCUCCCUCUGGGUCAGACUCUGGAUCAAACUGGUAUGGCUGGACCACAGCACUUCUACCAGCCAUACCUAGCCAUAUAGCGCAAGUCACGCCCCCUCUUCCAGAGAAACAGGGAGGGGCGUGGCUUGCACUGAAGGAGGAGGAGGCGUGGACAGGCGGAGCACACAGAAACAGCGUGUUCACAGUAGAGCUCACUAGAGAAAGUUUUUUAGGCUGGCUGCAGUCCAGGGAAAAAAAAGGGUUUUUGGACAACAAACUUCAAAUUGGCUGUUCAAAAAUGCUUCAAAAGCCAUGGAAAAACCAUAAUCUGAAAGUGAGGGAGGAAGUCAAAAAACUGUUAACCUUAGCCAACACUACCCGAAGCUACUUUGCUGGAAUGAACUCUAGUUGGUUUCUUGGAAAUAAACAAGCCUUUAAAUUUUGUGAAAAGACCCCAAGGACUAUGUAAAACGGACACUCAGUUUCACCAUCCAUUGGUUUUAGAAAGGCCACUAUGACCUCCAAAGAUUGAGGUCACCUUGUUGAUAAAAUUUAUUCCAGCUAAGUUUUGAUCAACUAAAACAGAGUCAAAGAAAUGUCCUUGACCUUUAGUCAACUGUAGUUGGGCCUUUAGCUUUGCUGGCAAACUAACAUGCCAAGAUGAGUCAAAGCAAUACAUUUCCCAUGUACAAUUAGCAUUUUCUGGCACUUGUUUUUUCAACUGCAGAUUACUGGAGGCUGCCUUUUAAUACUGGAGGUCUCCACUUGAAAGAAAUGCUCCUCAAAGGAAAACUUGUUAUAAGCAGUAGAGUGUAAAUGGGAUGUAAUGUGAACAACUUAUAGUAUUGCAAUUACUCCACCUUAAAUGUUUGGACCCCUAAAGCAUUAUGAUAACUGUAUCUAGUUGCUUAUGACUGGUAAGAUUUGUAGACCUUAUAUUUCCCUGCCUGUCCUUCAACCAAAGCUUCCCUGCCGGACUCAUGAGGUCUACUUAUUCUAUCUAAGCCCAACCAUUAGACAACUGACGAGCUAUUUCCACGUAAUACCGUCAGAGGUCCCACUGGGAUUUUUAAGAAAUGGGCUAUGUACACAGGGAACCAUUUUUCUGCAGUCAAGGGGUCAUCUUUGAAAAAGCAUAAAAGAAUAAUAACCAGUUUGAGUAUGAAUUUAGAUGCACAUUGCAGUGUGUGUAUUCGAUGUGUGUUUGACUGUGUGUGUGUUUUGUGUGAGAGUAUUAUUGAUCUUUUCAGGCCCUCUCCCCUGGAUAACUGAUUUUCUGGGCAGAGAUACAGAGAGCCCCCCCCCCUGCAGAGCUGAAUCUUAUGUUUCUGAAACAGUACCAGUGUUUCAAGUCAUUAUCUAUCCUUUCUCUCUUUUCUUCGAGGUUUUUCGUCCUCCGUAAAAUAUCCCUCCUUCUUCAGUGGUCCUCAUCCUUUUAUUUCCAACCAUGCUUCUCCCCAGCUUUUAUCCCCUCCCCAUCUUUUAAUCCCCUUCUCAUCGUUGUCUUUUUCUUCAUUGCCAGCUAUUUGUUGCACGUCCCUGCCUGGUUUUCCUUCCCCCCUCUCUCCUCUGUUCUCCCGCUCUCCUCACGGCCUCUUGCAGAUGUCGGAUCAGACGGAACAACAUGACUCACAGAGAAGGGCUGAAUUCCCUUUGGUUCAACAUUGGAUAUCAAACAGCGCCCUGUGAUGUGUGUAGAACCUUAAACCAUCUUUGGGAGCUUGAAACACUGGCAGACUAAACUGUGGUUAUGUGAGAGGUCAAAUUGUCCACAAGAGGACUGGAGAGGGUUCUUUUGAAAUGCAAUCUGUUUAAAUUUCCCUGCUUGAAAAAACAGCUACUUUGCAGACAAACACUAGGGAGGAUUUAGAUGGUAUUGUGAAUGAUAAGUAAUGAUAGGCUGUCAUCAAAACACCACUGAAGCACAGAGAGUAAACUGACUUACUUGAUGCUCUUUUUUACAUGUUGCUUUUGAAACCAAACCUCUCCAAUCAGAGUAUCUGACUGUGUUAAAAGAAGUUGAACUAAAAUCAAAUUUCAAGUUGGUCUUUUCCACAGGAAAUUUCACAGCACAACAUCUGAAUAAAACAUGACCUUGCAUGAAAUCAUCAAUUAACAAAUCCCAAAUAAUUCAUGAAGGCAACAAAAGCAGGCAAGCAAUGUUUCUGUAAAUAAAGCGCUGCAUAAUUUACUCUGAAAAGGCAAAAAAGGCCCGCUCUGUCCCUGUUCUUUGUCAGACAUCUCUGUUUGACACCGCUCUCUCUCCUUCUCGCCUUUCCCCCAAUAACAUACUAGCGUGGGGGUACAGCAAAGUAUUAGGGAUGUGUGCUGUGGCUCCCCUGCCUUUCCUGUCCUGUGCUCUUCUUAACAACUCUGUAGAAAUAUUUUUCUGCUUCCUUUUCUGUGUUUUCGCUUGUGAAAAUAGGGGAAAACAGAGGAGGUAGAAUCUACAGCCUACCUGGUUGGGUGGAGCUCUUGUCCUUACCCACCUCUCGACCAGACUUUGCCUACCUGGUCCUUUUUUUAAAUGCUCUCCAAAGACUCUGUCCUUAUUUUCUUUGCGUUUUUGUUUAUUUUUUUUUUUAUGAUGAUGAUAGGUGACAGCCAAUCCUGGAGAGCCGCCUCCAGACUUCACGAACCAAGCUUGACAAAAACACUGCUGAAAGGAGGUGCCCACUCAAUAACUCUGUUGAUGGUGAGGCUCUCGCCAAUCUUGUUUCAUGGUUGGUGUUGGGGGGUCAUAGAUGAUAGGGUAGUUUCAGCAAUUUAUUAUCUGGAGCUCAGGGUCUGUUGAAGGGGGCAACGCAGUUUGGGCUGAGGUGGUCUCUUUGGUUGGUUAUUUAUCAUAUCAGUGUGGCAAAAGUGCUUAGGUGGGUAUGUGGGAUCCUCAGCGAGUGCUGACCAUAGAUUGUAUAUACUAUGGACGACUUGGCUCCGCCUUCCACCGUUAUUUGAAUUUAAAGCCAAAUUAUUCUCUGUAGUUUCAGGACUUUCUCCACCUUCUGGAACCACCACUGGCGCAGUAGUGUUGUAUGCAUUCGGCGGGAGAGUCGCUGUGAUGACACUCGGCUCAAACAGCAUAUCCCUCGGGUGAGCAACAUCAACUUCGUAAGCCCAUAGGCUGUAUCAAGUGUCAGUCAUAAAAAACAUGAACAACAAUAACAAUAACAAUAAUAAUAAUAAAAAAUGGAGCUGCACAGAAAAAAGAGGACUUGAGUACAAACCAGUCUUACAGUAACUACAUGUCAACAUCGCAACCAGAGGGGAGAAGAAUUUUAAUUCUAUAUACAAUGUGCGCUAAAUGUGGGCUAUAGCAUCUUGUGUUAAAAUAACUAUUGUGUAAAAUUCGAAUAGUGUAACAUUAAAAAUGAGUAACCUUGAUCUUUUAAUGCCAAAGGCAAAUGCCAUGGUGUUAUGACAUCUAAAGUGCCCACUUAAGGGGGCAGGAGAGUGGGAGGGGAUCAAGUGGGAUCUUCAUGGCACAGACCAUCUGGAUAGGGAGGAGGAAGAAGAGCAGCCACAUGCCAGAUCAGAGCGCUGUAUCUUAUUCACCUGGAAACAUGAAUGUUUUACCAGUAAAAGGCUGACAUAUCGAAGUUAUGUAAGUUUGUAAAAGUACAGUUAACAGGCAUUUUGCCUUCACUUCACAUGUCCGAGUGAAAAAGGAGUGAGAAAAGGUUCUUCCACAUCCAGCGGGUGGGAGGAUUGAGAAAUAAUAAUGAUUAUGAUAAUGAAUGAAAGUGCGUCAUCAGUGGUGAAUCAAUAAUUUUCCAAAAAGCUUUAAAGAGAAAAGUCACAGCUAAACAAGAAAAAAAAACAAACAAACAAACAAACAAAAAAAAAAAACAUUUUCAUUCUAGAGCCCCCGCAUAAUGCAGAUCAGGACAAUAGAAUGAAAAUGAUUGCACCACACAGCAGCAAACAUUUGAAGAAUCAAUAGAAAUAGAUCGUUGGAUCAGACGUAGGUUGUAACAGAACCACAGUGAGCACAGACGGCUUUGACAACUGCUGUGAGACUACAAGAGAUUUUAGUGUUGAGACCCUGAUAACUAACUGGGAAAAAAUUGUUAUACCUCCAUCUGUGUGGCUAUUUUAGUGAGACAGAGGGACAGUUACCUACGGAAGCAGCUGGAACAGCUGGAGGGGAAGAGGGGCGACUCGCCGCUAAUAUACGGUGGCAAAUCACAGGGAGAGGUGCGCCAUUGUAACAUUAGACUAUUACACUAAUCCUUCCCAUUUAGUCUCACUUCAAAGAGACGCUUAGAAAGUAGAGAAUGAGCCCAGAGGGGUCUUCGGGUGUCGGGGGUGGUGUUUUUGUGAGUGUGUGUGCAUGCAAGUAUUGCUAUUAAUGGCGUGCAUGUGUCGAGUUGUGAAAUUAUGUGUAUCAUAUGAGGGUGUGUGGGUUAGGUUGUGCAGCAGGGUGAAGACUUGACCCAUAAGGUUAAUCUUAGAGCUUAACCGUGGAGAAACAGGAUCCAUGAUACACACACACACACACACACACAUACAUAUGAAUGCACAUGGUGGGUGUGUAGGAAGGUGACCAGACAGCCUUAACACUAUUUUUACAUUUUCUUCAAGCGUGUGCCAAACAAAGACGUCUUUCACAUGCUCAGUCUGGUCCUACCUCCUAUUUUCUUUAACCCUCCCUCUGUCUCCUUUUCUUGUUUUCCUUUCCUCCCCUCCUUCCUUUUUUCUCCUUCUGUGUCACGUCUAUUUUCUAUAUCCCCCACCCUUCCUCCCUCCAUCCUAUCUCUCUCCUCCCUAGAGACCCAUUCAUCCAACAGUCCCUUAAUAAACCUCACCCCUCUCCCCUCCUCCCUCCAGUCACAACUUUCCCUGUCUGCCUCUCACUCUCUCUCUCUGUCUUCACCACCACCCAGCCACUCUGGCUAAAUAAACACCGGGCGCACAGCUGGCAAUCAGCUUUAUAUUCCCUCUUUUCAAAUUCCUCUGUCUCCCCCUCUCUCCUUCCAUCUUUCUCUUCUUCAAUCCUUUGUUUCUCUGUGUUAUUAAACUUCAGAGGCUCUGCAUCCAUGUGUGACCACAGUAGAGAGCUUGGUCUUUAGCCUUAGGGGGGCUAUGAUUGUUACUGGAGGGCUGGCAUUGGAUGAAGAUGUAACCUGUCUGAUUGGAUUUGUGUUUUUAUUUGGCACUGUUUUGGUCAUCAUGGCUUUAAGUUGGAUUCAACAAGUUUCACAGCGGGCACCAUCUGUGCUCAGCUUUGAUGCAUGCAGUGUAAGUGUAAAAAAUGUUAAAAUUCCCAGAUAAACUCUUAAAACCAAAUGUGUUCCCAGUUUUUUUUUUUUUUUUUUUUUGCAGAUUAAACUUACUAUUUUUUACUAUUGUACUUGUAUGCACCUAAAAAGUUUUUUUUUUUUUUUUUUUUAAUUAAUUUUUUAAAUUUUGUUAACUGCCCUUGUUUGGGUUUUUCUUUUUUUAAUAAUAAUAAAAAAAACUAAUAUAUCAAACUGAAGCUCUCUUUUUAUUCACUUUUAGGCAGUGCUCUUACUUUUAUUCAACAAAAUACUGUAACUGUGUUCAACAAAGUUAGGGUGAGCAGCGUUUGUUGUCAGAAGCUUGUUUUGUUGCACCAUGAUAGGUGGUGAAAAGUAUAAUUUCUUAAUAUUGUUUUUAAGGACAAAGUAUUGAUUCUCCACCCCUCUCAUUCAUUAAUGGAGUGGAUUAUAAGCGUGUUUUUUUUUUUUUAUUUCCCUAAACCUCUUUAAACACAACAGCCCUGCACUCAUUGGCUGGCUAAUGGAGUCUAAGCGUGUGGGGGAGAGAAAGGGUGGUGGAGUGGAAGUUCAGAAAGAACACAACAAAUGAAAAUAAAGUGGUCAAAGAACUAUUUCUAAUGGUCAAGCUCUAAAGAACCUAAAUCCAUGUCUUCAUUUGCAAGAAGAAGGUUAAAGUUUUUAUGCGGCAGCUCUUCAUACUGCCAACUGCCUUUGUCUACUUUCUCAAUGACACAGUCAGACCAUUUCAAUUCUCAGGCUAGCAUAUACACUCACCAGCCACUUUAUUAGGUACAUCUUGCCAGUACCAGGUUAGAAGAAGGAGGUGUUAAGAAAAUUAUUUCAGGAUUUUUGUCCUUAUCAACAUAAGAGUAUCAAACAGGUGCUGCAGAUUUGUUGGCUGUACAUCUAUGAUGUGAAUCUUCUAUUUUGCCAUGUCCCAAAGGUGCUCUAUUGGAUUGAGAUAUGUUGACUGUCUCUUGACUGUGGAGGUCACUGGAGUACAGUAAUAACCAUCAGAAAACAGCUACACUGUGGUCAUAAAGGGAUGGACAUGGUCAACAAUACCCAGGUAGUCUGUGGUGUUUAAAUAGUGCUCAGCUGGUAUAAGGGGCCCAGAGUGUGCCAACAAAAUAGCCCUCACAUCACCAUGCUGUUUCUAUAGCGUGCUAUCUCUCAUCUGACACCCACCCUCUAGCAGUGUUUACAGGGGUUAAAAUUACAUUAUUAAAAUUGUCACUGUCACUGUUUAAGGACCUGUUUGCUAUUGUGAGUCUUAAACUGUCACUGUCAGUUUCAGAACAAGGCAAAAAUUCCUUACAGGAGCUUUAAGUCAGACGGGCAGCACUUGUUUGUUGCUUAUGGUGAGAGAGCAGAAGGGAGACAGAGAGGUCACUUGAUCAAAAAACAAAUAAAGUUGCACUCUGUGAACUUAAGAUCUACACUGCCGCUCAAUGACUGAAAGUGCGAUAAGUUCUCAAAUAGUGAUAUGGUGAGAAACUCAAAGAUACAGACAAAUGGUAUUUUUUAAACAACAAGAAAAUUUCCAUCUUUGGCUCCCCAGGAUUUAAUUCUGCAGCAAUGGUUGUACAAAAACAAAUAUUGGUUUGUUGUAAUUGGUGUCAUAUUUCAGUUCAAAUUAGUAUUGUGCCAACACUGAGUUUCUGAUAAAUAACUUAUUUCUGACUCACUUACAUCGUAAGUUGUUUCCUCAGCUCCACUUUAAAUUUUUUAGUUUAUUAUCUGGAGUGUUAGUGGUCCCAGAAUACAUUUAGUAUAAUGACCCAUUUAUCAGGAUAUGUAUAGUAUUGCAAGGUUUUUGGGGAUACCCAACCCAACCCAACCGGAGUUUGAAAUCUUGAGGUUUGGAAAAACAAGAUGUUCAGAAGGUAUUCAUCUAGAUUUAACAACAUAAAGACACCCUCACAAUAAAUAUGAAAAAUGAUACCUAUUUCCAUCUUGUCGAUGCGGCAAGUAUCUCUCUAUACAGAGGAAUAAAACUUGUAGUCAAGUCUAGACACUCGACACAUCCCAGGAAAUUUGUGACAUUUACUGAUGUAAUUGGACUAUUGAUUAGACUAUAGCUCUGUUCACCUUUCAUUGAUAUGUCACAUUUGUAUGUUGCAGCUGACAGUGAGGUCCUUCCAUGCAUUAUUAAACGUGUUAGUUAUUACUGCGCUGAACAGAAAGAGUUGUGGCUGUAUUUAUAUAGUGCUCUGUAAACAUCAGGUUCAUAACAGGGCUGUACAAUAAGCUCUGAAGAUAAAGAACUUUGCACAUCAGGAUAACGCUUUUUUUCUCUUAGUAUGACAAAGUAGACUGAAUAUAGUGAUUAAUCAAAGUCAUUUUCAUUUGUGUGAUCCCAUAUUUCUCUGCUGUGUAUCUCUCUCUUUCCCCCGUAACGUCUGUGUGUCUAUCAGGUAAGUUACAAAGACACAAAACCACCAUUGAGAUGCACAGACUCAUCAGACAUAAUCAACCAAGUGAAGUAUGUAGACAAACAAACAAUGUAAUGAUCAGACACAAUGGGAGUCAUACACAUAAAAAACAAAUACAUUUAUCAGUCUUGAACACAGUCUCACUCUCUCAGACACACUUUUAAGAUAAGGCUAGAAUCGGAUAAAGCUGCCCAUAUCACAACCCGCCAAGUCCCAACCAGGCUUAGCUGCCUGCAUGGAGGGUGUGUGCAUUUCAAAGAGAUCAAGUGUGUGUGUCCAGACUUACCCAAGUGUGUGAGCCUCCCUCCCUCCCUCUGACUGUGUUUCAAAGACAGUAAGCUAAGAGGUGUCACAUUAUAAGAAAAGAGCUAGAAUUAAAGGCCAACCUGAUCACUGGAGCACAGUUCAGUGGGCUUAGACUGUGUGUUGGAUAACGCUUUCUUUGACAACCAUAUCUCUGUUGCGUUACAAGGGCAUUAUUUGUGAAUAUGUUUAAUCUUCAUAAAUCCCAUUACAGCACUACCUGACAUGAGAAAAGGAAUGUGUUCCAGCUCUGUGAUCAUGUUUGUCCCUCGGUGAGGCAAGUGAAAAAGAUUGUGCUUUUCGGGGGCCCGUGCCCACGCGAGGAGCCUACUGUUGAUUUACAGCAUUAAAGUACAUGUGCUGAAUAUGCUGUUUGUGUCGUAGCCACAAAAGGCUUUGGGCACACACACACGUGCACGCACGCACACAAGAUGAUAGGCAACAGACGUUUAUAUUUAGCAUUUAAUUCAGCAAAGUAAUGCAGUCACACUUGAAAAGGAAGAGAUAUAUUGCAUAAUCUGUCUGGGCAGGAACACAAAAAAAGGAUUCAUGUUGUUUCAUUUCAAAUGUAAGAGCAAAAUUGGGUAUAAGUACUGUUACAACUACAACAAUUAAAAUGUCUUCUUGAUCUGCCUAAGCAGAUUUCUCCUGUUAGCACGUAUUUCACUCCCACUCAUAGUUACACUCUCCUUUGUGAGGGACAAUUAACACAGUUUGUUGAAUGGGCUCCUGGUAUUAACAGGAAAAUAUGUUCAUUUUCCAUUAAACAUGGUGUUUCUGCUCAAAACUACACAUGGAGGAUUAGUGAUAUAAUGUUAACAGUCUUUUUUUCAGUGCGGCAGUGCCAGAAAAGUCACAUCCUACUAAUUGAAAACAAACCCAGGAACAAUAAAUCACCCCAGCCCCAACCUCCCAACCCCAGACACACUGUAAGAGACUUGUGUAGACAGAAAAUAACAUUAUUGAAUAGAUUUAUCUGCUGUACAUGCAAGGAAAAGCAAUCAUAAAGAUUUCCUGUUUAUUUUCAGUGGAGGGCAUUAAUCAGUUCACUCAGACUGAACAACCACCAUACAUCUGGGGAGAAGACACUAAAGCGCAAACAUGUAGUGUAUAGGAGUUUAUGAGGAUCUUAUACAACCUUAUUGCUUAUUUUUUUUAUUUAUUUUUUAAUGUAGAGUGGAUCAGGAUACCAGAAAUGAGGUCCAACUGUGGUAAUAUAAGGCACUAUACUAUCAAUGAUAUUUUGCAUCAAUAGUUACAACAUGGCCUCUAUUAGGAGGAAGAUCUUUGAUCAAAGUCAUUAGAGACUCACUUUCAUGAAAAUCAUGUUUUUCUUGUUGUUUACUUGGUUAUGUGGCAUUUUUCUGAUGCUACAGGAAGUAUCAUUAGAAAAGUAAGUGCAAAAUUGCAUUUCUGAGUAUUUCUGCAUUCAAAUCGCUGAGUAUCUCUGGUAGACCAAAACGUCAGGCUCAGAAACAGUGAGAUUUCCUUCGUAGCAAAUCUAAGCUCUGUCCACAAGCCCUGCUAUGCAGGCCACACUUGGAGAAAUAGAGAGGACAAUCGCGGAACAAGUGUGUGUGUUAGCGGAUUGCAAUACUCGUAAGAAAGCUAAUUAUGAUAUUAACUGACAUCAUGUCCCCAAAGACAUUAGUGUCCGAGAGCUGAAUAGCUCCUAUGUUACCUAUUUCUUCUACUACACUGGCAAUGUAAGGCUGUGAGCUAGUGUGAAGAGGAGUGUGCAGAGCAACACUGUCUCCGCCCAUGACUCAGAGGUGAAUUGCUAAUGAGCUACUGGAGCUCAAAGAAAGGCCUUGAAAAUGACACAGAUGGCAUGAUAUUGGCUAAGAACUCCAUAAUCACAAUUUAAAGACCACUGAAAACUAAAAGAUUGGAGUUGGACUUUAAAGUCCCCUUGCCCAAGUUACAAAAUCCAUAUAAUUAAAAAAAAAAAAGGGUAUUGUCUCCUGACAGGCUCAUUGUGAAACAGGAAUCUCGUUUAAGCAGUCGUGUCACUCAUAUUGCAGAUCAUUUCUGUCUGUAGGACUUAUAUUUGUGAUAGAGAAUGGAUGUCAAAUCAAUUUCCCAGUAAGUCUUACCUAAACUCCUGUGACCUAUGCAAUGAAACUUGGAGGAUUUUAUAGUGUCAUUAUUUGACUAAAGUUACUUGAACUUAAGAAAACCAAUAUGAAGAUACAAGUCUGGGCAGCUCUGCUUCAGCUGUAACGGUUUGUGAAACAGGUGAUUUAAGGGCCAGAGAGUCACAGUAUACUUAUUUGGUUCUACUUUAUGAACUGUGUCUAAUGGCAGAAAUAUGACCUCCUCUGAUGUAAAAACAACAUGGGCAUAAAACGUGCACAUGUGCAGUUGCAGACAAAAGCAACACAGGUCAAAGGUAAAACACAAGUCAGUUAAUUUUGUUUGGGGUAAAAUUUCAAACGCUUUUUAAGCUUGACAACAAAUUCAUAACAGUCACACUGAAAAAUCCCUAUCAGUAUGUCGGUCAUUGUUGGUCAUCCAGGUGUAAAGAUCAAUAAAUACUGGUAAUUGCUCCUCAUCUCAGUCUUGACUUUGACUCCCAGCUGGUCCUAAAGGCUUGAGUAUUCUCCACUGGUAGAGCAGAGAACUUGUUAUUUUCAUGUUUUGCUCAGUGCCUAUGAGCUCCCAAAGGAACAGAAGCAGCACAGGCAACAUACUGUAUAAAUGGUUGGUGGAGGGUCAGUAUGCUGGGGUGAGUCCAGGACAGAAAACCAAGUAGGGGUUAGGAGGGAAGAAGAUAUAUUUACUAUAGUCACCACAUUCUGCAGAGAAAGCAAUUUCAAACUACCACUAUGUCUGCAGUUCAUGUUAGAUAAAUAGUCACUGGGUGAUAAUGAAUUAAUCAGUGAUGCCAUGUGGAUUCAGGAAAAGGGUAAGACAUUAUAUGAUGUUACUUUGGGAAAUGGCCGACUUUUGCUAUUGUGGGAGGUUUUAUAAGGAAAGCAAUUACUCAUAAAUAAACUCACUUAGUAAUCAACCUAUCAAAAAAGCAAGAGGUUAUUCAGAUCAUCAUGUGGACCAAUUACUAUCAUCAUCUGCUGCUGCGAGAAGACUAAGGGCCUGAUCUAGACGUCUUAAUGAACUGGUGAAAAAGGCUGGCUCUGUGGUAGGACUCAAGCUGGACUCAGUGGAGAAUGUGUUGGACAGAGCAACACUGAGGAAGGUGGAGAAUAUUCUAAAGAACACCCACUAUUCUAAGGAUCACCCACUUCACAACACCUUGAUGGACCAAAAGGCCAGUGGUGGUGGAUAGCUCUUCUCUCUUUGCUGCAGGGCAGAAAGAUUCAGAAGAUCUUUUGUACUAACAACCAUCAGACUUAAUUACUCUUGUGUAAAUGAUAGAUAACUUUUAGAGACAUAUUAUGUGAGACAACAAAAAAUUCGAAUUUCGCUUCAGGGAUUAAUAAAGUUCUUCUUAAUCUUGUUAUUCUUAUUCUUACUUAGAUUCCAAAUAACAAGUGCAAAAUUGCAAACUACAAAACUGCAUGUGCUAUUUGUGGGCAUGUUGGGGGUGAGAAGGGUUAAAAACAAUUUAAAAUCAAUAAAACAAACAAACAAACACACACAUAUAUAUAUAUAUAUAUAUAUAUAUAUAUAUAUAUAUAUAUAUAUAUAUAUAUAUAUAUAUAUACAAAUAUUGUAAUGCAGUGUUACAGUACGAGAAAUGGCAUGGAUCAUUUUUUGUGACUGGCUCAAAAUCAGACCUUAGGUCACCUAGUAGCUCAAAAAAGCAGUACUAUUACUAUUACUUUACAAUUGUUAAAUUUCUGACAGACCAAAUAUGUUGACAUGCACACAGAAGAUUUUCUCUCUCCGUCAUCUAUCAUUGCACUUUUGCCUCCUUUACACCAUUUGUGCAUAACACUGUGCCACUUUGGGCGUGCCUUUCAAACGUGCUAAAUAUAGACGCAAAACAGUGACUGCAAUCAGUUUCCGGGUUUGAAAAAUCACAUUGCGGGUGUUAAAUGAUUCUUUUUUUCAUCUACCCCUCCCAGUACUUUGCGAAUUCUGAUGAUCUGCACACAUUCUGGAAAUUCAUGAAAACAAACAUGCAAAUCGAUUGUGCAUGCUGUUUUUCUCAUUUGACAGACCCAAUCCUUGUUGCACCUGGCUAGAAGAUCAGCUUUGCAAGUGCUAUUAAGUUUGCACAUGUGUUUGUACACAAACCUUAAGUAGAUCACGCCCUGGGAGCAGCAGGUAGGGAAAUUGUGGACACCAUGGCCACAUCAAAAUUUAACCUUAUAAUAUGAACAAGAAAAGAGUCAGUUAAUCACCUAAUCCAACAAGCAAAACCUUACCACCCUAUAUCAUGAAACCCCUGAUCUUAUUCCCGCCCUUUUGAUGUACAAUUGCCCUACUUGUUGCUCUUGUCGAUGAUGUGACUCUGUUGGCUUCUUCAGACUGUGACCUCUUAUCCCACUGGGGUGUGACAAGAGGCUGAGACAAGAGUCAGCACCAAACAGAGACCGUGGUCCUCUGCCAGAAUAAUGAAAGCGUGAGUCAUUGCCACAGGAGAGAGGAGUUCAAGCGUCUUGGUGUUGUGUUCAUAAUUACGGGUGAAAUGAAACGUGACAACAAGAGGGUUGGUGCUGCACCUACAGUAAUAUGAAUUUUGCUCUGAAUUGGGAGCUAAACCUGAUUUUUUGGAUGACUCACCAGUGGGGAUGAGUUUUGUGUUCAGACUGACCAAGAAGUGCUGCAGAUACUGGUGGCAAAGAUUGGUUUUCUCCACUGGCUAUCUUUGACACAGGGUGGGAGGCUUGGGCUUACAGCAGGAGAUACACAUGUAUCAAGACCUGCUGUUAGUUUGGAAAUGGGUUUUUUGGGAGAUUAAGGGUACCUUUAGGUAUCCCCCUUUUAAAUAGGUAUCCCCUUUGGAACAGGAAGAUCAUCCACCUUGGGAUAAACCAAGAUGCUGAAGGGGUUAUUUAUCCCAUCUGGCCAAAACAGACUUAUUAGUACAGGAACUCUUGGCAAAUUUGCUAGGUGAUGAAAUCUUUAUGAGCAAAACGAAGUGAGAGAGUUGAUUAUAUAAGGUCCAUUUAUUAAUCACCUUCAGAGGUCAACUAGGGGCUCAGAAUUGGAGAGCCAUAAGAGGACUCAUAGGGGUGCAGGUGUGUUUGCUGUCACAUGUAUGUCAUAUAAGAACAGUGAUCAGCCCUUCCCUUUGUCGGGUUAUUGCACCUCCUCCCAGCAUAUAGAGAGGGAGUUAGUAUGGCAGAUGGAGCAUGAUUUAUCUUUCCUGAUCCAGUGCAGGUGAUGUUGCAGUGCAGCUGAGGUUGAAAUUGUAUUUUUGGUGUUGCUUGCAUUCUCCUUCUUCAAACAAACAGUUUGUGGGUGAAAUUUUGCAAACAGCAGUGUGAGUAUACUUUCCAGCGAAGAAUGCGAUACUGGGUGAAUUAAUAGAUACUGGUUUUGAGAAAGCACUUGCUUGCUUGUUUGUAUCCCCUCCAGCGAAGAAUCAGAGUUAGGGUCAAAGGUCAACAGUCAUAACCCAUGAAGACCGCUAUCACAUACACAGUUUCUCUUCUGCUGUACUUUGUGCAAUGUGCUAAUGUGUAUCUAACUGGAUACUUGUAUAGGGUGUUUAUAUAUCUAUAUGUGUGUGGGGGCUAUUUGGUGGAUAACACUAUAUAUUGUUCAGGUUUGUAUUGCUCACUUCAUGUAAACAGAUAAAACUCGGCCGUCUUGAGGGAUCACUGCAAGAGGACAUUCCUCCAGUAAAUAAAGUGCAAGAAUCCCCAUUUUACAUGCGAAGCAAUAAUCAUCUUAUUUAACAGAGUGCUUCCCUGUCUCUGAGAUGUGAGCAUACACAUGAGAAGGGCUUAGCAGCCUCAUCACAAACAAAGCAAUGAAGCAUGAAAAAUAACCAGACACCAACUCCCACAGCCUUCUGUCCAAAUCACACCCAUUCAUAUUCCUGCAUGCACAAGCCCACUCUCAGUCACAGACAGUCAUAUCCCAAUGCCCAAAACAACCAUCAUUUUAUGGGCUUCAGAAGCGGCCUGUGGGGAAAUAUGUGGUUUACAAAAAAAAGGAAAACCGCAAUAAUCAAGUUUAGAAGUGAGUGCACACAGAUUUAUACACUCAUUCGCGUCGUGCACUCAUUCAGAUUGAGUCUUUAACACUUACACAAUGCUGUCUCGCACACAAACCUGAAGUCGCACAUCUACAUACACACACAAAUCCUUAUUUAUUCAUUACUCGACUCCACAAAGAUAUUAUUCUUUCAUGUGAACAGAUUAAAAACACCCAGCACCCAGAAAAUAUAAUGGAGGAUUUGUUUUUCUUUCAUAAUAAUUAGUUCAACUCUGCAAUUAAUGGGAACACAGUAGCUGUUGCCCAGGACCACAAAUGUUUAAUUGGAGAAGAGGAUGAAGAGAUUGUGCUCAGUGUUCAGAGUCCAGCUGAGAGGAAUUAUUCAAAAGGGGGAAAAAAGACCAGGAAGGGAAGUUGCUGGAUUUAAGGCUCUGACUGUUUUUGUUGUUGCUGUCAGAGUUCACACAGACAUACUUACGUGACGGUCUUUAUUUGUGAGUCCAGGCAGAUUGAGUGUAUCUAACAAGUGUGUUUGUGAUAACACUCGUUUUAAAACUAUGCUCUCUAUCAAAUUAAUUUUGUUGGCUUGAAGGAAAAAUAUGGGGAGAGAGGCAAUAAAUCAAUCUAGAGAUAAAUCCAUGGUUUCAAAAAGUUGGAUAGGCUCUUUUAAAAGAAGUUUGCCAUCAUUAUAAACUCCAUUAUCUGCUGGCAAGCUAAUCUCUCUCCCUCUCAACUCAUCCAACUGAGCAGCUUGGUCUAUGGCCCAAAGUGUUAAAAUACUCAUCACAUUUAUUUUCAUUCGUUUAAUUAAGUGUAGUUAAACUUUUUUUUUUAGUUUUAGCAGAAAUUUUAAAUGAAGUUAACCAAGUUAAAGAGCAUUCACAUCCACUGGGGGUGGUGAAGUGUUUUCAAUGUGUCAAAAAAUCACUUUCAAAAGGAAAGUUUUAUCCCUGUUGAAAGUUGAGAGUUGACCCGGUUGGUUUGACCUUUAUGUCCAUCAAGUAUGACUUCCCUGGUCUUGUUUGCCAUUUUAGCUUAUACUCCUCAGGCCAUCAAUAUAAUUAUCAGUCCGUUUCAUAAUUAGUUAAUAAAUUCCCUAUAUGAACAUUAAAUGUAAGAGUUCAUGUUUUGCUCUGGCGCAUUCAGUGCAAUAUUGUCAAUACUAAAUCAUUCUAGACAAAAUUGAACGUACAAGUACUGUAUGUUAAGGCAUAUUUGUAAGUCUGUAUCCAGUAAUCAAGUUGAUUGGGACGGAUAUUUUGUUCUGAUGACCAUGCACAUGGUGGGAAACCAACUGUGUACUCUUUGUUGCUAGAGCACAAAGAUAAUUAUUAUAUUACAUUAUCCCUCAGAUCUAGCUGUCCAUGUUGCUUGGCCAUGAUACUGAAAUUGCAGCUGUGUCAUCAGCGCUGUUAUGCCACUUACUGAUGUAAUCCCCAAAAAAUUUGAAAAUGUCAUAUCCACAAAUGCCUCUUUGCCCAGAGUAUUUUACUAAAUAUGUGCAAAGUCCCCUCAAUGUUGAAAUGGUGGUAAUAUUUCCAAUGUUAAAAAAGUAGUAAUAUUUCCACAUUCAUUGAUAAAAAAGGCUCAAGGGAUGAAAAGUCGGAAUAACCAUUUUAGAAGGGGGAUGAUUUUGACCAUUUUUAUUUCAGGGGAACGCCAUCCCCCCUCAACUCAAGUACUGUCUGUAUCCAGGGAUACAUCCACAGCUGCGACAUAAUGACCCUGAUGCCUCUGACAUGCAGAUGGUGUAGGCUAAUGUAGUUAAAUUGCCUGUAGAAGAAAUGUGAUUCAGUGGACUGGCUAAUGAAACUGAUGUAAUGAGUUGUCAGCUAGCUAAUUUCCAGUAAAAGGUGUUUUUCUGAUUACUGAUCAGGUAUUUGACAUGCUUACAAAAAAAACACCAACCACUAUAACUCCUAAUCUUUUAGACUGCAUGGAAUGUGUCCUAUUGUUAAUCAGCCACAUCAGAGCAUUCAGUGAGACCGUAAAUUUAUUUAAUUCCCAAGCAGUGGCCACAGUAAACCUGUCCGACCUCUCCUCCAUCACUUCUUGCUGGCACAACACCGCAGACGGUCUGUCUGAGCUUUCUUCUCACUUGGCACCAGACCAAACGAUUCCAGGCCAACAUUCCUGUCCUUUCACCUUUUUUUAGCACCAACCCAAAUCUUUAAGACGAAAGAGCCAAGUAUACGUGACAGGAGGGAGGGAAAAUAAUGAUAAAAAUUAAGAGAAACUACAAGAAGUGAGUAAGAGAACAAAUGCAAGAUAAUAAAAGCAUCACGGAGAGGGAAAAUAGAUUGGAGAAAAAGAGGGGAAAAAAAAGAAAAAUAGAAAAACUAAAAUGGUUGUUUCAUUCUGGCUAAUUAUUUCAAAUUAGGGUCAAUGUCUGAAGUGUCUCUCCCUGAAAAUGUCAAGUGCCAAAAUGAAAAGCUUUACUGCUUCUUAAAACUCUAGAAGGGAGUGAUGACGUAAACUAUACCAAACAGCUUUUGACACCAAUUUUCUAACCUUUAAACCAAGAACCAAGUUAGCGGGAUUUAGCAAAAAAGCUCAACAAAUUUGACCUAAAAUGUAAGUUAUCAAUCAUCUGCCACGAGAACUCAGUGCAAAAUGUGUAUCAUGUCUUUGCUAUCUCUUAAUAUAGACCAUCUCACAGCAGAAAUUGGCUGUUUCAAGCCACACUUACUGUAAAUUGCACAUUGUCUAGUCGCGUGUCUUGAUAUUGAUCAGCUCUGUCACUUCUGUUAAUGAGGCCUGAGCAUCAGCUAUCCCUGAUUGCAUCAUAAAAUUUACCAACCAAUUACCCAUAAACCCCAGGCAGUGAGGAGAAAACGAAGGGCUGAAAUUACACGGAUCAAAUCUAUCAUUGUCAUAUCUGGCUCUGAGAACAAACCCAUUACAGAGGAAUCAACCUGUGAAAUAAAACGUCGUAUAAACCAUAGGAUUAAACUGUGUUUAAAAACCUUUCAGUGUAAAUCCAAGUGUAAAUAAAACACCAGUACACUAUCAAUAAAUAAGUUUCACAGCUCCAGGCUGUGAAGUUGUUGAAAUAUUGCAACCUUUUUCUGCCUUGUUUUGCACAGAUACCGUUAAAAUGGUUUAGAUAGUUGAAAGAGAAUAGCUACUUCAAAUAUAACACUUCCAGGUUAAAUCUCUGUCCAAAUCCUUACACCCUGAGCCAUGAUUUUUUUCCCCCAUUUUGUUUUGAAUUCACCAUUUGAUUUUUAGUUUGUGCACUUGUUUUUUUUAACAGGCCAAAAAUUUUCAGCCACAGGUAUAACCACUUUUCAUACAAUUACUUUGUGAGCCAAAUAGAGGAGCUUCAUUCACAGGGCUAAUGCUCAACUUUCCCCCUCAUGGCCUGCAGCACAGAAAUUUGAAUACUGUGGGUAGAGUAAUAUACCCUCACCUCUCACAAAGACAGAUGCAAACUGCAUGUUGAGUUUACCAUUUCUUUUCUUUGAAAUUAUGUACUAAAGAGAUCACUACUAGGAGAAAGCACAUGCUUGAUGCAGUCUGGCUCUGAAAGUUUUAAAUGGAAUGUAUACUGAAGUACUUCAUCUAUCGGAGGCCUUUAUUAUCAUGCCACAUGAUGUGGCCAUUAUUACUUGUUGACCUGUACGUCCAAAUGCCACCUAGUAAACUCAUUGGGCUCUAUUUUCGUGCCUCGCUGGAGACGAGGAUAUAUCUAUAUAGAUCUAAAUGCAUGUGCUGACUCAGAUUAAUAGUUGUUGAUGAUUAUUUAUUGCACUGAAAUGUGCCUGACACUGUGGAAACCUGCCUGUGAGGCAUCGGUGACAUAUGCCGAUACGCCACCGGUCUACCAAAAUACCACUAGAGCAGCUGCGUUUCGCCUGCGCUGAAAGCUGACCAGGUUUGAAUCGGCGAGCUUUCAGCGCACUUUAUCUCGGUGCGCCUUAGUCCACGAAAAUACCAAACUGGCUGUACGCCUCGAAAGUUGUCUGUGAUCCAUCAUACACAUUUGAUUUUGAAUCCCUCUUCUCGACUCUCUCAGGUAAACAACCUCAGUUUUAAUGUUACUUGUGAGAAGAAAUUGAGCUUUUUGAGGGAUCCAGGUCAUUUGGCUCAACUAGGAUUGGCCCUUAAGUGAUCAACCAGUUCUGUUGUGUAACAGUGGAGAAUGGACCAAGGCUGUCAGUUGUGUCAGUGUUGGGUUGUGACUGAGACAGACUUUGUGGGUCUGUGCGAUGAGCCUUGCAACUGUGUCAGGCGUUUAUGUAUGGACCUGCCUGACAAAGAAGUUGAUGGCUGUCAAGCAUGUGUGUGAGUGUGUGUUUCUGUGUCUAUAGGAGUGGGAGACAGGACAAGUGACAGAUAUGUUUGUGUGACUAUGUGAUACAGAGAGAUAAGGCAUUCACUAGUGUUUGACAGUGAGCUGUCAUGGCAAGGAAAGUGUGAUGGCUGUCUCUGUCUGAGAACUGUGCUGGCCCCCAAAACUAUUUUUCAAUGUCAUUUUACCGGGGUGUAUUGAUGUCUUCUCUGUUUUCCAGCUGACAUGUCUUUCCUGACAUAAAGUUAUUUUUGAAACACCGUUCAGUGUUGCUUUUUACUAAAUUGUUUGUUGGUUUUUUGUCACUGCACCCAAAGAGUAUGCCAAAGGGCAGGGAACUAAGUCCCUGUCAAAGAAAAAUAACACUUCGCUGAGUCCAGUAAUACUCAGCUGUUUUUCCAGUCCAGUUCAUCUUCCCCUCCAAAGAUUAGCUUAAUCAGUCACACAAUAAUCAGAAUAUGAACAUCUGUCCAUCCCCCAGUACCACUUACAUUUUGUGUUGUUUUGUUUUGACGUGUUAUUGAAGCUAGAUUUGGUAGCAUGAGGAUACACCCGUUGAAUACCUGUCCAACACAAAUGUCAACUUUUGUAAAUAUUGAUAUUUUUUGGAGUCUUUCAUAAGUUAAGGAACCUAAUUACAACCGUUAGUGACAUUAAUUGCAAAACCAAGUUAUAUUUUGAUGUACAGAACCACUGAUGGACCUGCUGCUUCUGAAAAAAGUUAGAGUUAGUGAUCUACUUUUACAGACAAAUUGAAGAACUUCUUGUCAGAUAGGUAAAAACAGUACUUUUUAUAACCUUGACCACAUCCUUAACCUAAACUGACCAAGUAUUUUUGUAGCCUGAACUUACCUAAACCACAAUCAACCAUUAGACAAUGAUGUGUGAAAACCAGUGACCUACUUGUUAUUGCUUGUCCCAGAAUAAUUUUCAGAAAUUUUAUUUUGAAAGUCAGUCACUUUUUUUCCUGCAUAACAUUGCAUGUUAAACUGAUACUUAAAAAUAGCUGACUGUGCCAUGUUUUAAAUUUUAGGACCACAGAUAAAGCUGUGGUACUGAGUUAAGAGUAGGAAUAUGUUGGACACACAAGAUUUGUAUAACGUGUGUCUCAUUUCUCGUUGACAUCAGAAGCACAUUUUAAAUAUUUUCAGAAAUCACCCAACAGAUUCACAACAGCAAAGAAAGCUAGUUUCUACCUCGAUCUUUUGCAUCUGUAUUUUUCACAUCCUGCAUCCCCUCACACUGACAAACACUUGCUCCUCGGUCAGUUUUCACUUUUUUAAAAUACAAUAAUUUCAGUCAGUUUCUUCGGUCAGUUUUCACUUUUUGUUUUUUGUUUUAAAUUUUUAAAGUGUUUACAUUUUGUUCUUUCAUAUCUGAUCACACAUCCAUUCAUCCCCUCCUUUUUGGGCUUUGUUUCCCUAAGCAUUUCUCUCUAUCGUUUCCAGGCACACAAACAGGACUUGUUAACAACGAGACAGAUCCAGAUUGAUUGACUCAGCAGGCGAGGAGACAGGCUGCCAAUAGAAGUAACUCAACACAGAACCCCAAUUCUGCACCUUAAAACAAAACCCAAAUGUUACUGUAAUUACCUUGGACUGUUUGGUGUUACUCGCUGAAUGAAUGAGAUGGACAAAGACAAGCUGAGACUGAUUUGUUACAGCUAAAUGAUGCUUGACUAAAGACACAGAGCCAACAGAGGAAGUAUGCUAUUCACAUAUAUUAAGGUGUUUUCCCUAAAAAACACUGAAACAAACAGUAUUGUGCAAUGCUGUUUUUGUCACAGCAUCACAAAAUACUACACUCACCGGCCACUUUAUUAGGUACACCAUGCUAGUAACGGGUUGGACCCCCUUUUGCCUUCAGAACUGCCUCAAUUCUUCGUGGCAUAGAUUCAACAAGGUGCUGGAAGCAUUCCUCAGAGAGCUUGGUCCAUAUUGACAUGAUGGCAUCACACAGUUGCCGCAGAUUUGUCGGCUGCACAUCCAUGAUGCGAAUCUCCCGUUCCACCACAUCCCAAAGAUGCUCUAUUGGAUUGAGAUCUGGUGACUGUGGAGGCCAUUUGAGUACAGUGAACUCAUUGUCAUGUUCAAGAAACCAGUCUGAGAUGAUUCCAGCUUUAUGACAUGGCGCAUUAUCCUGCUGAAAGUAGCCAUCAGAAGUUGGGUACAUUGUGGUCAUAAAGGGAUGGACAUGGUCAGCAACAAUACUCAGGUAGGCUGUGGCGUUGCAACGAUGCUCAAUUGGUACCAAGGGGCCCAAAGAGUGCCAAGAAAAUAUUCCCCACACCAUGACACCACCACCACCAGCCUGAACCGUUGAUACAAGGCAGGAUGGAUCCAUGCUUUCAUGUUGUUGACGCCAAAUUCUGACCCUACCAUCCGAAUGUCGCAGCAGAAAUCGAGACUCAUCAGACCAGGCAACGUUUUUCCAAUCUUCUAUUGUCCAAUUUCGAUGAGCUUGUGCAAAUUGUAGCCUCAGUUUCCUGUUCUUAGCUGAAAGGAGUGGCACCCGGCGUGGUCUUCUGCUGCUGUAGCCCAUCUGCCUCAAAGUUUGACAUAUUGUGUGUUCAGAGAUGCUCUUCUGCCUACCUUGGUUGUAACGGGUGGUUAUUUGAGUCACUGUUGCCUUUCUAUCAGCUCGAACCAGUCUGGCCAUUCUCCUCUGACCUCUGGCAUCAACAAGGCAUUUCCGCCCACAGAACUGCCGCUCACUGGAUAUUUUUUCUUUUUCGGACCAUUCUCUGUAAACCCUAGAGAUGGUUGUGCGUGAAAAUCCCAGUAGAUCAUCAGUUUCUGAAAUACUCAGACCAGCCCUUCUGGCACCAACAACCAUGCCACGUUCAAAGUCACUCAAAUCACCUUUCUUCCCCAUACUGAUGCUCGGUUUGAACUGCAGGAGAUUGUCUUGACCAUGUCUACAUGCCUAAAUGCACUAAGUUGCCGCCAUGUGAUUGGCUGAUUAGAAAUGAAGUGUUAACGAGCAGUUGGACAGGUGUACCUAAUAAAGUGGCCGGUGAGUGUAUAUAAUACUGUAUAAAUACCUCUAAAUUGGAGAGGACAUAGGACAUCGUUUUGGCCAUGUUACUGCUGAAAACUGGCUGCUGGUUUAACUUUUCUGACCCAGAUUAUGUCUGGACUGAUCUCCAUUGCCUCCCAUCAUGCCAAAAUACCCGCCAGCAGGCACUGCAACAUCUAUCAUUGUUAGCUCUGAGAGUCAAGGUAUUUAACUCCGUCUGCCAACGACUACAGAUAUUCAAAUAUCCCAAGAGAUGGCAUGGAUUUCUUGGUACAGUCCACAUUGCAAUGGUUUCUUUUGUAGAUAUGGAGUGUACAUACAAAUAACUAGUUGAAACAAAAUUUCAAAAUAAAAUGAACAGACAUCGUGUCAGAGAAAAACCUUGACACAUGAAAGGCAAAGACAUUAAUCAUGACUUUUUUGAUCGACAAUGUAAUGUUAGAGGAAGAAAAGUGUCACGGCUAAAAACCCACAGGAUUUGGAACAUCCGUGCUCCGACACGGCAGGCGGAUCAAAUACGCAAGCAUUAUAAUCCAUGUGUGCGAUUCCACACAAUCUGUCCGCCGCCUGGCUUCGCGAGGGGAAGUGGUAUGCAGCAAAAGAAUAAAAUACCCGGUUAAUUUUUUAAAAUAAUAUAAAGUUAAUACAUUGACCUGUUCUUCACUUAAUAAUAGGAGAGGCCAGGGUUGUGGGAUAUGGGUGUUUAUAUAAACCACUGUUUAUAUACACUGAUCAGCAGAUCUCAUUCAAUGUCUCACGGGGAAACUUAGAGAUCUCAUGAGAUCUCGUCCAGUCUCGCAAGAAAUAUUGGUAAUCUCGCAAGCGCUUUUCCUGUGAUGGUGGAGGCGAAUUGGAUCCAGUGGGCGCUGUAUACUUGCGUAUUUGAUAGGAGCAGAUCCAGUGGGAUUCCAAUGUUUAAGGGUGUUCAUCAGCAUCUUCUCAUCUUCUCAGACAACACCCUCAAUUGCGGUCUCAUAAACUCUUCUAGAUCAUUCAUGUGUGUAUUUUUAGGGUCAUCCCCUUGAAAUCAUUCUUGCUUGUAACACUUGACACCAUACAGGGUUGUAAUGUAGUGGUAAAUGGCAACAUGCAGGAGGACUUUAGGCUGCCUCGGUCACCAAAGCCAAGGAGGGUUAAUCUUAGCAGUUUUCUACUCAAAUCUCAUAUAUUUAUCCUCAUAAAAAAGUACUAUACUAAAUGUGCUCAUCACAAAAUGACUGUGAAAUGUUUGUUUUCUACAAGAGAGCUAUUACCACAGAUUAUCAUCCUAAUCUUGGUGCUCUCAUGUCCCAAUUCAACUUUGAUUUUUCUUUUUUUUUAUGCUAUGUCACUGAUUGCUUUUUAAAGGAAACAGGCCAGACCUCAACUAAGUGGCAAAGUCCCCUUGAUAGAUUGCUUUCAUCUUUACAGCAGUCAGUCAGCAGGGGGAGCCACUCAUAUUUGGCUUCAUCUUUAAGUAGCUGUCAUAUUGUCCAUCUUUCAAGCAUAUCACCCAGCUGCUGAAAUCUUUUAUUUGUCAAAUACAAAGAUCUGGAUUUUUUUGUUUGUUUGUUUGUUUUGUUCUCCUCUGGCACCUGCAGCAAAAAGUGCUAAAUACAGAUGUUGUUAUUCUGUAGAAGAGCAGAGAUCUGAACAUCGUUUUUGCUCAUGAUUGAUGUUUGUCUUCAUCUCAACCUCAAAGCAUUUUUUUCUUUUUCUUUGAUUUGCUCUUGUGUUUUGAAGUUCCAUCAUCUGUGCUCAUUGAUCUUUUUUUGUUUGUUUGGUUGUUGAAGCUCUAUUCACAAUCUAGCAGACACAUGGGGAAAAGGGCACCUCCAUACUGUCUCUGGCAGACCAAACCCUGCUGCACUCUGCACAAUUUUUUCCACUAGGUUUUGAUGGGAUGUCUGAGAAGAUAGACAGGCAUCCUUAUGGCAGCAUUUAUGCUAAGAGCCACAUCCAUUGCUAAUAAAAGGGAAGCUUUAGAAAUAAGAUCUGUGGUCCCCGAGUUCCUUUGUGAUGUUCCAGUUCCUCUAUCUGCUUAACCCAAGACUUUUAAAUGGAAGAUAGUCACUUUUAGACACAGCACAACAUUGUAGCAAUCAUGACGAACCUGUGGGUGAAAUCCACACAUUCCUUGCAGGAAAGGUUCCUUAUCUGGUCCCAGGACACAGGAUUAUAUAAAUCUUUCCAGACUUGUUUGCACUUUCAGGUUACCUAACUGACCCGACCAGAGGUUGACCAAAACAUCUGGCUCUUCAUGAUUGGUCAAUUCGGAAAACAGAGACACAGUUUUUAUUACCUUUCAAACUGACUCCAUUGCUGACCAUCUAAAUAAUCAUUCAUGCCUCAAUCCAGGUCUCCCAUUUGAGAUUUACCGUCUUAACGGACCCCAAGGACAGGUCUGAGGAGCAGGACACUGACCUUCAGACCUUGGUGGUAAAACCCUACUCAACCAUGUACUUUUUUUGUCUCAGCCUUACUUUUUCUUAGUCUUCUAAGUUUUACACCACGUGUUCAUUCACGUUGAAUUUUUCUUUAACAUCAUCUUAGUUCAAGUUUUGAAACUUCAACUUUUUGUGCGCAUAGCAAUUGAUUUUUCUUUAAUUUCGCAAAGCCACUUUUGAAAUAGUUUCGACUGGCCAUCGAGCCUCUCUUUUUGAGUCAUCUGCUGGAUUUCAAAGUCACCUCUGAACGCCACUCAUCAGGCUCAAAGUCAUCAUCUGUGCCAGAGUUUUGCGUGAGAUUGAAGGAGCAUCCACAGGAUCCACAGGUGCUGGCUUUUGCUUCGGGCCUGAGUGCUGCAACUCCUGGCCCAUCUUUUGGCUGACUUCGGAUGUCAUUUGAGCUGAACCGCUCGAACCACUGGUAGCCCUGGACCUUUGGUACCUGCUCCAUCCUCUCCAAGGACCAGUCUCACUUAAGUAUGCAAACCUCCAGAGCUUCAAACAGGGCUGAUGCUAUCUCAUCUCUCAUUUGGUCAUGACUCAGAUAUUCACUUAUUCUAGUAAUUCUAGAUUCAUCCAGAUCCGCAUCCAAAUUUAUCUUGACACCAAAGUGAGUGUAGGUUAAUAUGUUAGAGCAUAGUCACUCACUAUCAUUAACUUUAGUGCUCCUAGCCUGACUCAGAGUCUUUUAUUAUUCAUUUAUUAUUGUUUAUCCUCAUCAUCUUAUCAUCAUUUAUUGCAUGUGUGUUGAACCAUCAUUUAUCCUGUAAUAAACGGAUCAUUAUUUUUUGAAGUUCUUGUCUGUUAGUGUUCUUUCAGAAGUGGAGUCCCUGAAAUGAGAAUUUUGGCUUCAGAUGUGAGAUUGAUUAAUUUAAGAUUGACUUAAUAUUUGAUUUCUGAAUUAAACUUUUGUUUUUCUUUAAUUUUCCCACCAUUAAGGGUGGGCGGUACCCCUUUCAACUAGUGCAUAAAUUUCAUAAUUUAAGAUUAUUUAUCUUCAGACAUUUAUUAUGAAUUCAAAUCACUCCAACAUCACGAGUUCAUCACAAGUUUAAUCAAACCAAAAGGACCAACUCUGUUGAUAACCAUCUUUUAAAAAAAACUGAAAUUUAAAUCAUGCCUAAAAUAAGCAACCCAUUGGAAAGUGGGCUAGUAAUAGUCCUUUACUCUAGCUUCCACAUAGCGAAUCAUCUAACAUGUCUUUAAUUUGCCUACUAAUGGUGUCAUUUGACAGCGGUAUGUUUAUCAGUUUAUCCGCUGCAGACUGAUCCAUCACCUCUCUGACCAAAUCCUUGGCUGCAUGUAAGAUAAGGUCCUCUUUAUGGUAUGGGGCUUCUUUAAUUAGCAAUACCAUGUGCCCCCUGGUAUGACACAUGGAGUGCAUGUUCUUGAGCAGAAGAGUUCAGACAUUUUGUGACGUCAUCAUUUUUUAAACUACCCAACAGGUUUUCUCAUUAAAAAGGGUGUUUAGUUUCCAAAUGCCACCUCAGUUUUGACAGCUUCAUAAUUUCAUGUGCCAACACCUCACUGUACAAAAUACACCAAGGUUUUUGUGCUCCUUUGUCCUGGGUGUAAGUAAACCCAUAUCUCAUGUAGUCAGCCUGUAUUUACGCCUCGCCAUGCUCAUUUAUCUUAUGAAAACAAACCUCCCAGUAUUCCUCUAAGCCAUGAAAUAGCAAGUGUGACUCAGCUUUAUUUAGAAUUAUUGCCACCUGCUGUUAAGGAGUGUGAAUAGAUGACAGUGUGUUGCAUAAAUAAGGCCCUUUAUAAUAAAAGCAUAGGAUUUAAUUGUCAGAUGAAUGAAACCCACUGAAAACAGGGCUGUGACCCACUUUUGGGUCACAGCUCAAGAGUUGAUGAUCUCUUUCGGGAACAUACAGUGUUACAGAUAUUAGUAAACUUCAUCUUCCAAAUGGUUGCAUCUGAAAAAAAGUUGUGCUCAUCUGUGUCUUUGUCAUCUAAAAAAUAACAUACAGGAAGCAUAUAAGGCAACAUAAAGCUUGAGGUUCUUUUUAUAUUUACUCCCCAAAGUCCACCAAAAAACAAAAACACACACCCUUAAAAUGUUUGACAACUUCAACCAGAUCUGUUAAAAUUCUGUUGCAGUUUUCAACCGAAAAUCUGGCAGAUCAAAGGCAGCUUCAGCCUUACAGCCAUGUCUGUUUGGCAUCUUGGGAGUUUGUUAACGAUUCUGCGUCUCUGUUUGUUUUCUCAUAUAUGUCUGCCUCUUUGAAGAGAAAAUUACAGACAGUGCAUAUACACAGGUAAGUAUUGUGUUAAGAUGAUAACACCCUUGUGGACCAUUUUCUCCCUCAAUUGGGAUUGAGGGUUGCCCAGUACUUUUAUCAUGUACCAAUGUCUUUGCAAUUUUCUCACGAUCACAGUAAACACAAGUCUCUAAAGUAAUAAAUGUUAUAUUUCUUUAUGGCUGCUGUGUGCCUGCCUAAGAAUCUUUGACAGCCUAACACAGACAACAAUGUUGUAUCAGAAUGAGAUAUCCACAGCCUGAAAGUUUUAUGUCUUAGACCCUUUGAUCAAAUACACCACUGAGUACUGAGCUGAAAGUUAAUGAGUCAACAAGUUUGAACAAGUCCUGUAGUUUACAAACGGAGGUUAGCACUUUAUUUUACCCAAACUUUCUUGUGCCUUGAUGUUACCAGCAUGUGAAUGUGUUAUAGCAUUGUGGAUGCUUAUUAAGUGUCCCCUUAAGUCCCACUUAGAUCGUUUUUUUUUUUUUUUUUUACUUCUUAAAGUGUUAUCAGUUGUCUUUAGAUAGUGAUCAUGAAGUUUUUAGCAAAAAUCAUGUUACCUGUGUCAUUUUUAAGGGUUUUUCUUCUGCAGAGCUCUAGUAGCUUAUUAGCAAUUCGCCUCUGAGUUUUGAGUGGAGACAGCGUUGCUUUGCACAUUCCUCUUCAUGCUAGCUUGUAGCCCAACAUUGCCGGUGUGGUAGAAGUAGCAUGUAACACAGAAGCUAUUCAGCUCUCUAAUGUCUUUGGAGACAUGAUGAUAGCUAAUAUCAUAGUUAGCUUUCUUACAAGCAUUGCAAUCCGCUAACACACACAUUUGUUCCCCGAUCGCUCUUCUAUUUCUCCGAGUCUGCUCCAGGAGGAGAGCUUGGAUAUGUGACGUAUGAAAUCUCACUGUGUCUGAGGCUGCAGUUUGGCUCUGUCAGAGAUCCAGAGUGAUUUGAGCCCAGAAAUACUCAGAAAUGCAAUUUUGCACUUCAUUUUCUCGUGAUAUGUCCUGUAGCACUAGAGAAUGCCAUAUGAACAUGUAGACAAGAAAACAUUAUUUUCAUUGGAGUCUGUCUAUAAAGAAGGAAACUCAGAAAGUUCAAAUGUAUUAUACAUAAAUGCUAACUUGGAAGUUUUGUUUUAAAACUCUCACCAAACUUUGCAUCUCCCUAUAACUGCUAACUUGACUGUGGUGCCAGACAUAAUUAAAUAAUUUAAAAGGGACCUAGGUUAUGAUAGUUAAGAUUGGAACCACUGUGGAUGCUGUUAUUUUCGUGCUUUCUGAUAAGGAUAUUUUGGAAAAUAUGUUUACAUAAGAGACAUGCAGAAAUUUAUGAAGAUAUGGACAAUGGAGAUGUCUAAAGACUGCUUGAAUCAAUGAACCAUUUAUUCAAAAUGAUAUGAUAUGUCUUGACAAAAUAAAUUUCAAUACCUUAAACCACAUUUAGAACUUGCAUGAAUUCUUUUGUGGCCUUGAGAAACUUUACUCCAAAUGUUAAGUAUCCUCUAAACCUGAAAACAGGCACAUCUAAGACUCUGAUCUAUGGUACCUCCAGGCUUUUAAAUUUAAAUGCUAAUGUGUGUACUAGUGUGCCUGCACACUACAAUCUGAGCUGUCAAGGCUAACUGACGACUGACUGCAGCACCCUCUCAAAGUUGAAGCCUAGUAGUGGAAAUGUGCAAAGCAGAAACACAGGUGUGAGAUGUUUGAGUGGAAUAUUUUAGUCAGUCUUCAGGGGCAGAGGAAGUUAAAUGACUACAAAGGUUAGCUUGUUAGCAGAACAUGGACUGUGUUUCAGAACCAGCUGAGAAAGGCAGAGCUGACAAAGUGAACAAGAAAUACUGUCACGUUAAAAUUGCCAGCAAGACAGUCUUGAGCAAGGCGUGACUUUAGUUGAGGCAAUUGGACAGCAGUUUAAGUUUAGAUGUGGGGAGUCCAACAUGGAGAGGAGAGGUAACCAUCAGGCCAGAGCAAACAUGCACCACUCACAAACAUCUUCCAGGAAGGUGUGAGGUUUUACCGUCAAUCUGUAUUUAACUAAUCCAUUACUGCCAUUUGGUAUCAAAUGCUGGAUUUCCUAUUCACAAAUGUUAGUUGAAUACAGCCAAUCCAAUCCACUUUAUUUAUAUAGCACAUUAUUGAAAUGACAAGAUCAACGAAAGUGCUUCACAGUGAAAUAAAACAAGUUGAAACCCACGGAACAUAAAAACACAGCAAAAUAUUAAAAAUAAAAGAACAUAAAAGAACAUAAAGGCAAAGACCACACUGCUGGAAAUAAAAGUUGAGAAAUAAAAGUAAGUUUGAAGAUGAAAUUUGAAAAGUAAAAAAAAAAAAAUAUAUAUAACAUUUAGUUAGUUAGUUUGUUAGUUUCUUUGUUUGUUUGUUUUUGUGCUGCAUGUACUCCUAAAAUAGCCAGAAGGGCGAUGCAUGUGCACAGUCCCACACAGUGGAGCUUUUUACUGACACUGUACAGCCAGCUUCGCCUUUUUGGAUGUAACCUGAACACCAGAGGUCCUGGUUUAGAAUUUUUCCCAAUGUAAUCUAUACCCUGCUAGUUUGGAGGUUUUUGGCAGAGGAAGCAAAAUAUUUAUUUAUUAUAAUUCAAUUUAUUAUUGUUAUUUUUAAUCACUUGGGUUUCCUUCACUGAUGUUGUCCUAUUAUUUGCUUUGUUACCUGACCUCUGCUAAACUUUUCAGGUCAAAGAAUAGUCCAUAAAUUUAUCUUUAAAUGUCAAAUUGUAAUAUUUUACUAAUCAGUACUGUUCACACCAUGCACUUUUGAAACUAUCAAUCUGCUGAGUUCGAACUCAAAGAUUCUGUGUAUUAUAAUCAGCAGCAUUUAGCAGAGCAGACAAAGUAGAUGUGGAAUUAAACAUCUAUAAGUAUGCUUUGAUUAGUUUAUUAUCACAUGUUUACAACUCAUGUUGUAUUUAGUAACUCACAAUGACCCUUUUAUUUCUGCAAAAGAUAGGGUCCUUUUCUUUAUGGCCGUCAUCUUGCACUGCCAUGUGCAAGAUGACAAACUGAACAUACUACCAGCAAACAUGUUUUAAUAUGGAGUGAGUGCUUGUGGGAAAUGCUUUGGUUGGACAACAAGGAGGAGUAAAUGGUUGUUGAACACAAAACAAUUUUUAUUCAUAGACAUAUUUUAAAGCGAAAAACAAACAGGGUUUUUUGUCCUCAAAGGCUACCAUCACUCUACUGACUGAAGGGGUGAGCAAGGACGCUUUUCAACCUAAAAUCUGCCUGCUAAAGAAUAACAGCCCUGUUUUACAUACUGUACAUUUAAGAGUGAAAUAUAGCUUUAACAAUGUCUCGUUUCCCAAAUCUUAGGAGCAGUCUCAUUGUCAGUCAUGGGACAUCUGUGGGAAGCCUUGAAGGAAGUUGCUGUAUUUUAAACCCGUUGAUAUGCCACCUGCCUCAAGGUCUGCAAGAGCUGAGAAAAGAUGGUGAAACAAGACAGCAACCGACCCUGAAAGGGUGCUAUGUCGUCCUGAUUGGCAAAAGUGACACAUUGAACAAAUACAGAAAGACAGUCAGUCAAGAGUUGUGGACUUUUCUGACUGCCUCAGUCAUUAUCGGCUUCUCACCACUUCUCCCUGGCUUACUCUAUCUGUUUUUGUUUUGUUUUUUUUCUAACAUUUUCAAACAAAAUCCUAUCUAGCCAGGGCACUGAGGGGUACAGACACUGUCUUUUAAAAUUUGUCCCUCUGCCAAUUCUCUCUUUCCUUGCUGUAGAAGAAUUUUUCUAGUCUCCCCCUGUCUUCAUUGUUCUUGUCAGACACCUCCUUGCUCUUCCUUUCACAGUGUCAGGUAAUUUGAGAGCACUGGCAUAUAGAAACUGCUCUUAAACACACAGGACGAAACAUCAGUUCAUUUGUUUUCUAUGCAACAUUACGCCAGCAGUCCUUUAUGUAAAUUGGCACAUUAAGGCUUUUGCUCUGACAUUUCAGGGAGAAUGCAGUGAGGACACACACAUUUACAAACACACUUUACAUUUUUUGUCUGUUGCAGCAAAGUAAAGGGCCAUUACACUGUUUUAAAAUGCUACCAAAGGCAUUGCCUAGCCUCAGGGGGUACAUAUACAAACUGGACAGGGUGCCAAGUAAUCAAAAACCAUGUCUUGAUGGUUUUGUGUGUGUUUUGUUGCACAUUAAAGAUUCACUCAGUGGGUUUAUUUUGUGCCGAUUUGAAUUUGCCUUUAUAACAGUAUUUUACAUUCAAAUGGAUAUUGCACUCAUUGCAGUCCCUACUGGGUUCCUGUCACUCUCCUUUUGUUUCCACUCCAUGGACAAAAAUGAAACGAGGCAAAGAAAUUGGGAAAAUGGGAAAAAAGAAAGGAAAGCAGGAGAAGAACAGGGAGGAAGGUGGGGGAGAAGAAGAGGAAGCUGGCAAAGGAUAUCAGAGGAGAGGAAAGGAAGAUGGAUUACAGGACAGAGGCAAAGAGAAGAAGAGAAUUCUCUGCUGGUGUGGAGAAGGUGGUUCCUGUUCAAAAUGUGGGUUGCUUACUAAUGAGAGUGUGUGUAUGUGUGUGUUUGAUGUACACCUGAGGCAAUGCUAAGUAAGUUGGGGGAGUAACUGCUGCGGCUGCUUCACAUCAUUUACAGUACUGGGAGCACAGACACACACUCACAAACACACGUCGGUAAUCCUGACCUACGUUUAAUCGCUUUGCUUCAUUAUGUCUGUAUAAAUAUUUCUGCAUUAAGCUGUUGACUAAGCACCACCUUUUAAUGUCGCUUUGCCUCUGGUGCUGAUUUUUUUCUUUGAAAACCUGCCUGUGCAGCUCAGAUAUACACAGCUCUGUGUGAUCUGUGCGGGUAAGUAGGUUUUUCACACAAGGUACGUUGUUCGGAGGACUGACUGAGACAAAUGUUUUCACUGUACUGUUAAAUGAUGGUGUUACCUUUACCAGCAAGGUUCAGCUUUUGAUACAGUUUUUAGAGGGAUUACAGAGACAGUAAAACCCCAAUUAUUGUAGACUUUGGUUUAAAGUUUUGGUAUGGUAAAAUGAAAAUAAAUAAAUAAAAUUGACUGGAUCAUAAAGGUGUCUAUUGUCUAUUAGAGCUGUUUGUUGCCAAUAAUAUAGUUUAUAUACUGUAUAUGUGGGGUAUAUAUUUGUAUGUCAACAUUUUCACUCUCUGCUGUACAGAGCUGUGCACUCUCAUCCGAAUGGGGUUCAAACUGAUAAACUUAAUAGAAAGGGACCCUUCUUGCAAAUUUCACAGUUUAGAACAACUUUUUCUCUUUGGAGCAAGGCAGUAAAAAUGGCUCUUUGAAAAAGUUAAUGAAUAAAUACAAUAAAUGAAUAAAAACGAAUAAUUAAAUUAGUGUUGUUUGUAACGGCCUCAAACUAGAGUUGGGUCUAUAUGUGCUCUGACUGAGUUACUUACACCAACCAGCUAAACUGUACAGUAAACCCCUGCAAAGAACUUUGUUUGUUCCAACUCUGGCGUCCCCUGUGGUAUGUUUUGUCCUCACAAAUGCUCAAGUAAUGUUUUAUGACAUAAUUUAUUAUGAAGAUUUUUGAUGGAAAUUGUGUAAACAGGGCUCUUAUUUCAACUGCAUAUCUUACACCUACCCUCUCGCCAGUUUCAGGCAUUAAAAAUAACAAUAUAAAAACAGUCCUUGAUGGUUUUCUUUGCCUGUGGAUAUCAUAAAAAGGCACCAAAUUGAUUUUCAGUUUAUUUCAUAAAUAUCAUAAAACUCCUCAUAAGAGCUUUAACUCUCCAUAACAACAACAACGAUAAAAUGAUAUUAUCAGAUUAUAUGUACAGAUGAUUUAUUUCAGUCAUUCAAAUGUAGAAUUAUCAUCAUAACUUGACAAAUAAAUCAUGACCCGCAUUAAAAAAAGCUCUGAGGACUGAAAGUAUCUCUCUGUAUUUGGCUGUUAGUGUACGCAUUUGUGAAUAAGAUGUCAGUUAAAAUGAUGAUUCAACCCUUUUUAUUUACUUUGUAAAUCAACUUUUUUUUUUCAGGUUGAGUCGGGACAAAAGUAGCUCAAUCCUGUUGUGACUCUGGCAGUUUGUCUGUGAGUUUAGAGACAAAAACAAACAGAUUUUUGAGUCAACCUUGCACAGGGAGGAGACUGCGGGAUGUUAAUGGGAACCUUAAUGAAAAAAGGAAGUCUUCAGCUCUCUAAAACGCCUCAACUUUUUCUUUGGCUUUCAGAGGUUUACUUUGGAGCCCAAUCUCAGGUUAACUUAUCCCACUGCCAACCCCUGUAAAAAUAUAGGAUGGCAAAUGAUUUCCAAACCCUCUCUGUCUUUGACUGAAGAUCCCUUUAAAGCAGGGAUGCACACCCGACGCUUCAUGAGAUACCCCAGGCAGUCCGUUGCAGCUGUCCAUACAUUCCACAGAUAAGAAAACAGCCAUCCAUAAAGGUCCCACAUGAGUGUUAACAUGUAUGAAAACAGCACUCUUAUCUAGCUCCUAUUCUUGCAGCACAACUAAUGCGCAGAUGAAGGUCACUGCAGCUAUUAGCAGGUUGUAGUCAUACUGAGCUCGCUUUUAUCUCAUUUGAUAAAGAUGAGAGUGUACAUGACUGCACACUUGAGCAUGUGCAUGCCUGUGAAUGUUGGAAACACACUCACACAUUGCAGCACAUGCACACACAUGGCUGCAAAAUACACAGACUGCAAUAAUGACAUGCCUUAUUCAUGUGCUGCUUAACAUGUAUGAAGGGAAGGCACCAAAGUGAGAGCGGGGAAAGAAGAGUGAAAAAUAAAUUUAAAAGUGAAAAAAAGAAAAGGGGAGGGAAGAAAGGAGGAGGAUGAGAGAAGAGAAAAUUGAGAGUAAAGGUAGAGAGCUGAUGAGGAGUGGGUAGAAAAGGAGAGAGAGGAGAUGGGCUGAAGCUGCUGCUAUAAUGGCUGCGCAUACCUACUGUAUGUGUGUGUUAAAUCCUCUUGUGAAGGUGUGAUUCAGGCUCUUAUUUGGUUUUUACUCAUUUAUGUCUUUUUGUACAAAUAGUACCUUUGGAGUGUGACAAUUGAAGGCCUUUGUCACACACUUACACCCUCACACACACCAUUCAACAAGGUGAGAAGUAUAGCCAAGCCCAGAGCUUAUUCACAUUCAUAUUUAAAGGAGCAGGCCCGGUGAGAGGAAGUACUCUUAGUAAGGUGAAUAGUUCUCGAAAAACAAAAUGUGGGAAAUGUGUCAUUUGCUUCCAGGAAUAACAUAGAAAGCAAUCUUAGCAAUGAACGCAAGACAGGUCUUUGGAUUAUAGAUGUGCACUGAAAUCCUGUAACUGCACAGUAGGCUACUAGAGGAAGUCCAUUGCAAGUAUGUUAAAAAUUAAAUGUCACAAGUGAUCAAUUCUCCGGUGGUCCUCAGUUGAAUUUUACAAGUUUAAAUUUUUUAGUUUUCCACUCACCAGUCUGCAUCCCACUGACAUUUUGAAAGAUCUAGUGGAGAUUUGAGAAAUAUUUUAUGAUUUCACCUUCUGCUAUUCUCUUCUGAGUCAGAUUAUUUUAAUGCAUUCUUCAGUCUUGUUUGAUGGUCUUCUUUUUUUUUUUUUGCCCCCUCUCUUGCCUCCAUUCUGUGAUGCUUUCCAUCACUGGGUGCUGCAUCUGUAAUAUUAGAGACAGAGUUUGUCUUCAAAGGAAAAUGUGAUCCUGACCUGCAGGACGGGUGACUCAAGAGUAUGUGUUUGUGUUCAGAGAGACAUUAUAAAUGUAUGUUAUAAAUUGCAACUGGACCUCUUCAAGAAGUCAAAUUGUCGUGGGAGAGUCAUCGGUAUAAAUAGAUGAAAGCUGAGGUUGCAAGCAAAUGCAGUCAUGUCAAUGUUAGAGACGAUCUUAAGCUUCCUACACACAGCAAUUCCACAUCAGUGCUUGUACAGAGUUUGGCAAUCAUUAUGCUUGUGUACUUACAUCCUGAAAAGACACAAUAUUGGUGUUUUCAUGUGUUAUUACACAUCGUGUUACAUCAUUGCAGAGGCCCAAAGCACAGCUUGUUAACACACAGCAGGAGCUCCACAAACACACACAUUCAGACAUGCAUCUGCACACAGCUCUAUUUCAUGCUGCCAGCUCUAUCACGACACGCUGCCACCUCCUUCCCCCAUUCUGUCUCUGUUGUUAUGUCCAAAGGACACAGAAUCAACCUUUGAUUUGGGGGGAUUUUAAAGAGUUAAGGAAUUUAAGUGGAUUAUUGUCUGUAAAAACAACCAUCCGCACUCCAUAACCAUACAAACAUCAACAUUUAUCAAAUUUCUUGAAGAAACCUACAAGCCUCUGUAACCCCUUCCUAUCAGCAACAAUACUGCAGCCACACCCACAUUCUACCGGCCAUCCACAAGACUGCGUUAGUUCUUUGUCGUUGUCAGAACAGAAAGUUGCAUUAUGGCUUUGACCCUCACAGGCCAAACUAAACACCAGCUACCACCACAGAUUUAACACUAGCUUGCUUAUUUCUUUUUUAAGUGCAAAUCAGUGUGCUUUUGAGCGACCAAAUGAUAUAUCUUUUCAGAAUCACAUGAAUAAGUAACAUUGAUAUCAGACCUCACCUAUUUGCUCUGCAAUUUUUUUAUACCUUUUGAUGAUUCAUAAGAUUGAACUCCACAUGGUUAAGUUUAAAUGUAAUUGUCUUUGCUUCUUCUCAAAGUGCAACAUAUUCAGAUUUAAACCCAGACUAGUUGAGAAGUGUGUUUUCUUAAUCCAGCUACUUAAAGCUGCUGAGAGAACCUUUUGGUUUGUGUCAGUUUUGGCACUCCCUCUAGACUAAGACCUCUUGGGCUCUAUUUUCGUGCGCGCCGGUGAGGCGGCGGAGGGCGGCGAGCCCCGCGCAGUUGUAUUUUCGUCUGGCCGAGCCCAGCGUAAGGCCAAUUUGGUAUUUUCGUGGCAUGAGCCGCACGGAGGCGAGCCGAGAUCCGCCAAGCUGGGCGUGGUGGUGUGGCAGGGGGAGGUGUCGACAGAAUCAGCAGGGGCAGUGACAUUUUUGUGCUCGCCAACGGCGUGUAAAGUGCGCUGAAAGCUCGCCGAUUCAAACCUGGUCAGCUUUCAGCGCAAGGCGGAACGCAGCUGGUCUGGUAGUAUUUUGGUAGACCGGCGGCGUAUCGACAUACGUCACUGAUGCCUCACCGGCAGGUUUCCACAGUGUCAGGCACAUUUCAGUGCAAUAAAUAAUCAUCAUCAACUAUUAAUCUGAGUCAGCACAUAUAUUUAGAUCUAUAUCGAUAUAUUCUGAUCUAUAUCUGAUCUGAUGAGCGCGUUUGGCACGCGUUUGGACACACAACCUGACCGAAUCAACACAGCUGAAACCGCAUCAAAUUAAAUUAAAUAUCUAGUAAAUAAACACACAUGAUGAAGUUAACAAGAUAUGUAAUGUGUCUCCCUCCUUUUCUUUCUUCCUCUUCCUCUUAUUUCUCGCACAGCUCGACCUGGACACGUCUCCGUGUCCUCUGUCCGUCUUGCUGCUGCUGCGGCUGAACAGAUGAUUUGUUUCAGUGCUCAGAUGCGUUAUCUACUUUAAGCCGACAUACGGAUAUUAUAAUAUUCAGUUUUGUGGGCCAAAUUUAUUUUAUAUGCCAACAUCUAUGAAAGAAAGAGCCAGGCCACGGAGCGCGAUGCGUCAUUUACGCACAGAUGGUUCCGAUUUUAAUGCCAUUUUUGGAGUUUAUGUUGUGAUCUGUGCGCACAACCCACCUUUGUCACGUGAGGUUUGAAUAUGAGCAACUUUAUGCGAGUGUCUUUAUUUGUGGAAAAGGGUGUUUGUCUUACCAGUGGGUCCAACAUUACGCACACUAAAUCCAUCUGUGGUCAUAUGAGAGAGUAUGGAGGACACGUGUUGAGGAGCUGCCCUCUGUCGCCAUCUUGUGGCAUUACUGGCAUUACAUCUCUUGAUCUCUUUGACUACUUCAUGAAAAUAGUAAUACGCCUCGCCUGUGGCGGAUUUAAAGGCAAGGAGAGGAGCCUAUGUGAUUGGUGAAAACAGGUCUCGGCUGUGUUAAACUCACUAUACGCCCUUUCUCCUCCCAGUCUACGACUUAUGGUGCUGGGAGGAGCUGAGUUAGGGAGGGGGGAUACUUACGCCGGGCUGCGCGGCUCACCAAAAUACCAAAAUGUGCUUGGGAACGCCUUGUCAGUGCGGCGGAUCUGACUGACGCUGCGCUUGCGGCACGUCUCCGGCGAGGCACCAAAAUAGAGCCCCUUAUCUCUAGUCCUGUAAAUGUAAAAUCCUUUUCAGACACAAGUCUCACCAUGUUGUCUUUCAACAGUGAAAUGCAUCACUCAGUGUAAGUGCUUGUCAUGGAAAACGUAUAAAUAAAGCUGUCACUCCAGUCUGCUGUCACCUGCUGGUCCAACACCUGACCCUCGCAACUACAACUAAAAAAUAUUUCUGCAGUGUUGCUGGUGGGCUCAUUUGCUUUUGGAGGUCAUAAAGAGGCAACGGUAUAAGUUUUGAGACUUUUUGCCUUAAGCCAAACAUGCAUCUGUAAUAGUCCAUUAAGCACCUCAGUGACUUAUUUUGGACAAUUCUGAGUUUGGUUACAACAGGUAUCUACAUUUAUUUUGUACCAUUUACUACGCACUAUAUUUGAGCUGGAUUUUUUUUAAAGGUGGUAUUUUCAUAUAAGAUUUUUUCCUCUGAUUAAUGUGUUUAAAUUCUAGUGCCAUGAUUCUAACAGGAAAAUAGCACUGCUUGUUGUAGCUGAUUACAGGACACUGACAUUUUUGAAGCCUAACACCAUCACACACUUUUUGAUGGUGUUCAAGCACUAGGUACUGCUGUAAAAAAUGUCUAUGUCUAAAAUCAUCCCAUGGCCUAGACUGUAAUUAACCCUUGACACUGAUCCAAGAAAAAUCAAUGCUGUUUUCUAAGACUGCUAAAGUAUUAUUAUAUCAAACAGUGGAAAUUACAAGUUUACUUGGCAGUUGACAGGUGUUUGAAAGAGAAAGAAAGCAUGACCAUGAAUGUCUCAGCACCUCUGUGUCGAGCGUGUCUUAACAUUGAUCAGCUAUGAAAGGACUUCAGGUCAAAGAAAAAGCAACAUAAUAACAGUAAUAACUUGUGCUGCUUUCUAAUAGCAUAAAAAGGGCUUAAACCAAUUACUCAAAUUGACCAGAUUCGGUUGUUUGGGCAAUAUUGAUGCGAAAAAAUUACAAAAUUCAGCAGCGGACUGAGUUGGUUUUGUAUAACAUCAACAUUUGUCGUAGUGAAAGCAACCUUGAAACAAGCUCAUUUAAUGAAAACCUACUGUUGUUUAACACAAACAUACACACAUUACACUCAUGCAGAGUGGUGCAAAUACUAUCCCAAGUCCUACCUUUUUAGUGUCAAGUGUGUAGAAAUGCAACUAUAGUAUUACUAACGGCAAAUUUUGCUUCGUCAACUGCUGUAACACUCUCAUUUAAAGCUCCAGUGAGGAGUUUUUAAAACAGACUGAAACAAAUAAUGAUGCAUCUCUUGACAUAAAUAAGCAAAUGAAAUCUUAAAAACAAGAUUGUUAAUAUAUUCAAUAUUGUUUGUAAUGCCUGUACCUGCUGUUAGGGGUAGAAUAAAUAAAUAAUAAUAAUAAUAAUAAUAAUAAUAAUAAUGAAAUGAAAAUCAGCAACAUAUAAGGGUUACCACUAUGUUACCACAGGGGGCGCCAAAAUCAUCACAGACAGAAAGUUCCUCACAUGAGUUCAGUGUUUCCCCUAUAGUGUAUUUGGCAGGGAGGGAUACCUUCGCCCUGCCAACGAGAUCCCAACUCAGAAAUUUAAGUCGUAGAUCAUUAUAUAUGUUUAAUCUUUGUUUUUAUCAAAAUGGCUUAUAAAAUAUAAUUUGAACAAUUUUAGACUCCAAAGCUUGCAAUGGUUUCAAUGUUUUGAAGAAAAAUGUCUCUCUCUACUCCUCUGCAACAAACAGGGCUCUCCUCUCGCUCCUGUUUCUAUCUCACAAUAUAUAUGCGUGCUGACAUGCUGCGCCACGUAGUUCAGAGGCGCGGCAUGUCAGCACUAUUGAUUCUGGUACUCUGGUCGCUACUGCUUGCCGCUCAUACCCUGCCAGUUUUGUACAGGAUGAUUUCGACAACCUGGGGUUGUGGCUCCUUUCCAUCGUGUUUGCUGCCAACACAACAAUUUUUAAAAAAUGGUCAUGGAGCACCAGACUGUCCUGAAUGAUCAGCACCCCAAUUGAAAAUAUCUGCAUUCCUUAAAAAGACGGUAUUUAGCGAUGCAUUCUCUUGUGGAUGCUAGCUUAUGCAUCUCUCCCAGCCCUGAAAACAGCGCUGUCGACAUAAGCAAAAAAGCCAAAGCAAAAAAGCUAGGGGGAAACUCUGAACCACUUUUAUUUUCUCAUUUUUGUCAUUCUCUCAAAUUUGAACAAACUUCCCUUCCUUUCAUUUAUUUGGACACUUGACCUUUGUGUUGUGCAUGACAGUCCUUGUAAAAUGUUAGAACGAUGAUAACACACUCAAGUGUGAGCUGAAGGAUGGCUGAAUGAAAGAGCUCUUCAAGCUGAGAUAGGAAAGAUUGUGGAUAAGAGUUCGUGAGUGGGAAAAGCAAGUGGCUAAAUACUCCCUCACCCAAUAUACACAUGUCUUUGGUAGAGAAACCUUACAUGAAAAAGGAAAAAUCAAGAGCAUACAAACACAGUAGGUAUGAUCAUGAUCAGGCCAACAAAUAAGACAUAGACUUCCAGUUUUGUGUCUUGGAAUCAUAGAACCCUAAGUUACAGACAAGUCCACAAGACCACUAUGUAUGAGUCGCGGGUCAUCACCAACAAGAUACAGAACUACAUUCAAACAGUGAACUGAACCUGCAUGACUGGGAAACUACUGUUUGUGUUGUUGGCUUUCCAGUUGGCAUAGAUAAUGAAUGAAAUAACUCGUAAAUGAAGAUAAAGUUUGCAGUUAUCCUUGUGUUUACUUAUUAAUUCAGUCCCCAAAGUUAGUCUGAAUCCUCUUGCCUCUGGAAUUUAAUCAUAUCCAAGGCUUGAAACAGACUUUUUUUUUUAUUAACUCAGAGGCAACUGAGCUCAGAAUUUAAAAACUAACCAACCAAGUACCAACCAGGUAUUUAAAUGGUACAAACAGCCAGAAUGAUCCACUAUGCCAUGGCUUUAUAUUCAUGGUUUGUCAGUCUGGUGCAUCUCUUAAGUUGAGAAAAAUCUCACAGGAGCCAAUGGACAGUUUGUGCCUUUCACUGAAUCUGUGAAUAAAGUCAUUGACUCAUGUCUUCAUGUCAGUACAUCUUCUUCAUACUCUGAAGAAGAUGUACUAACAUUCAGAUUGACGAAGAUGUACUGACAUUGAAACCUUUGUCAAGCUUUAUUUGUGCUUUCAUGAAAAAGCACAAACGGUCUCUGUGACUGUGAUUUUUUUCCCCUCAAGUUCCUGAGGGAAACACUUUUUUAUUUCAGUGUUGAAGAUGGCUAACUUUGUGUCUAUGAAUAAAGCAGUCACUCAAUGUUGAGAUACAUUCACACAUUCACAAUAAAUCGUCCUUGUGGCAGUUUUGUUGUGGUUCAGUAACCUCUCAUAGCUUUUAUUACAUAGCUCUAUGGCCACUUUACCUCAUCACUAUGCACUGCAACUCAAGGAUAUACAUGUACAUAUCUGCCCCGCUGUUAUGUGGCACAAUGCUUAAACCGAUAGCCACCCACGAACUCAAGAGCCAUAUAAAGCUAAUUAUGCAGCCCCUUAUAUGUAUGGCUUUGUGUGAAACAAUAAUGCUAAAUGACCAUGCAAAGGUCCAAAUGGGAAAAGAAAAAAAAAAAAAAAAAGAAAGAAACAAACAAACAUGGCUCAGCUGGUUUCCACCAGAGAGACCCAGAUGGGGUUUGUUGUUUUCUAAAAGAAGACAGAUCUGGCUGUUCUCAUUUUUGUCUUUAAUUGUGACUAAAUGACAGUUUACAGACAAAAAUGAGUAAUCACCAGUUCAGACAUCACAGAGAGUCCAUCAUCAGUCUGCGUUGUUAAAACAUUUUCUUCAGCAGCACAAUGACUAAUACCAAAGGGGAGAUAACAAAUAGUCUUUGUCCAGAGAAAAGCAUGAAUUCUGAAAAUGUCAGCACCCCUUUAAGCUUUUAAACCAUGAAAUGGCAGGCGAGUAUGUUCUACACACAUUUAACUUAUCUGAAACAAUAACACACCCCGGCUGAUGAGAAAUGUUUUUUUUUUUUUUUUUUUUAAAUAAAAGUGGGAUAAUAAGCAAGGGAGAAAUAUCAAUACACAGAGACCCCUCUGAGUAUAAUUAAUAAUAAUUUGAACUUUCAGUAAUACUUAAAACUGCAGGUUUUCAUUCUCUUGUAACAGAGUCUUUAAGGCCUAAAAGCUUCCCAAAAGUGUGGCCCUGAUUCUGAGGAGUUCAUGUUUGUAUGCAAAUCAGAGUUUGCUGUGUUUGAACAUUUCUGCUUCAUACUGUUUGCACACGUCAGACCAUGCUGUCAAUGGAAAUCAAGUAUUUUUUUUUUUUUUAAGACCUACUCCUGCUUUGUGUCUGAGCCUCUCAGAACGUCUGCGAGUACCUCCCACACCCAGACGCACACAUCUGUGUUGUAAUAAAUAAAUAAAUAAAUUAUGCACGCAAACACAUAAUGACUCCAGAGGUACAAGAGCUCUUGCACACACUUUGCCCUCCCCUCUAUGAGUGUGUGGGAGGAAAAACCUUUUACCAAUACUACUCCUUGUCGAGAGACAGCACUCUGAUAAUAGCAUGUAUCUGCAGGAGUGCCUGUCAUGUAAUCAAAGCAGGCAACUGGCAGCACGUCUGUGUCAAAGAAUGAUUUUUUUUUUUCUUUUUUGCAGUCAUGUUUGAUGUGUUUUAUUUAUAUUUCUUUCCUUUUUUGUGGAGGGAAGGGGGUAGGGCUGCUUUAAUUGAAGCAUGUGUGAUGUCAGCAAUGGUCAAGUGCUCCUCUCAGCUAAACGACUCCUGGCUUGACAGAGGCAGCAGCGGCAGUGUAGCAUGCAUGACUAUUGCUUUAUUGGUCCCAUAUAAACACGAUGAUCACGAUAAUGAAGACACAGUGAUGGGGAGGCAGAGGGAAGAACAACGUUGAAAGGAGAGGCAAAUGUGGGAAGAAGAACAGCAUCAUGAAACAGGACGGGUAUGAACUGUAUAUCACCUCCAGCUCAUCCAUAAUUUUCAUACGCUACAUCUCGCCUAUGACUCACAUCUUGCUAUUGACAUUCGUACCAAUUUGCCCGUGGAGAUAUUGCACAGUAUAUUUCUGUUUCAGGUGUGUUGGAGCUUUCACAUUUAGAGCUAAGUUCAAUGGAAUUAAAGGAUCAUUGCUUCUGUUUGUUGCACUCAGUAGAUUCUCUGCUAUCUUAUCAAGAUUAACAAAAGAUCAGUGGAUAGAUUUGCUGUCUAACACUUGAUAUGGAGGUACAUUAAGGGUUUUUAAUUCAGCUAAGACUUAAAUGCUCAGUGGCAGCACUCCCGGAAAAGGUGAAUUAAUUCUGAACCUCAUGUGCAUAAACAAUAAAGAGGUGUAAAAUAUGAUACUUGAAACAUAUAGAACAGAACUUUUUUUUAUUAUUACCAUCAACAUUGAAGCUCAUUGAAGCCAGAAACUGCAGGGCCAAGUAAGAAAGACUAGCUGUCAACUUCUGAUCUCAAUUGUUUGCUUGAGGCUGGGUAAAUAAGUCCAUCCCUGUUGCGCCCCAUGUUGAAUUAACAGUUGAAUAAAACAUGUUGGAAGCCUGGUAGAAAAAUAAGGUUAUAGCCUCUUCACCCUAUCACUGUUUACAUAUCUUCAAAAAAGGGCUGUUACAAUGUCAGAUUUUAAGCUCACGGUUAUUGUGGUCAAAGAAUGUCAUGACGACGCUAUUGGAAUAUUUAUGAAAACUGAGGUCUAAAAUAACACUGAGUAAAACUGAGAAGAGCAACAUAACAUACGCUUAUAGAUAUUACUAGUUCAUACAUUUACUGAUUUACAUUGGGCGAAGAUGAUCUUCAAGCCCAAGAAAUCAAGGAGUCUGGUGAUCCAGAAGGGCAAAACAACUAAACGGUUCAAGCUUCUUGUUCAAGGGGAAGAGAUCCCGAACAUCCAGGGAAACCCUAUCAAAUGCCUUGGAAAAUGGUAUGAUGAUUCCUUGACAGACAAAAACAGCAUCUCCAGCACUGAAAAACAAGUGGAAGAGUGGUUGAAGAGGAUUGACAAGUCUGGCCUGCUUGGAAAGUAUAAGUGCUGGAUCUACCAACAUGGCCUGCUCCAAAGACCUAUGUGGCUUCUCACUGUGUACGAAGUGCCUUUAAUAUCAGUUGAAGGGAUGGAGAGAAGAUUCAACAAGCACCUUCGUAGAUGGUUGGGAAUACCCCCAAGCUUUACAUCUGUGGGGCUCUACAUAAGGUCGGGUCAGCUCCAGCUCCCCCUGUCCUCUGUUGUGGAGGAGUUUAAAGUCGCCAAGUGCAGGCUUUCCCUGACAUAUAGGGACUCCCAAGAUCAACUCAUCAGGGAAGCUGGAAGCCGAACAAGAUCCGGCAGGAAGUGGGCCGCCAGCACUGCAGUUCACCAGGCAGAAGCUUCUCUCAGGACCAAGGAAACCAUUGGUAACCCCUGCACUGGAAGACAGGGCUUAGGAACAUCACACUUCCAGCACUGGUCAAAGUCCACUCCCAGGGAGAGGAGGACCAUGAUCCAGGAUGAAGUUCGAAACCUUGAGGAGGAAGGAAGAAGAGCUAAAGCCAUCGAGCUCGCAUCUCAAGGUGCCUGGACAAGGUGGGACCUUCCCAAGAGGACCAUCACGUGGAGUGAACUCUGGAGGCUGGAGCCUUUUCGGAUCUCGUUUCUGCUCCGAGCAGUGUACGACACCUUACCUACCCCAGUCAAUUUGCACAGGUGGGGAAUGAGGGAGGACCCUCUGUGUGGGUUGUGUGGCAGUAAAGGAACCAUGGUGCACAUUCUUUCAGGGUGCAAAACAGCAUUGACCCAGGGGAGAUAUAGGUGGCGCCAUGACAAGGUGUUGGCACUGCUCGCAGACAUCUUGGAGCAAGAGAGGAGAAAGAAAUAUCCGGCCAAGAGAAGACCACAGCUGAGUAUCAUCGCCUUGGUAAAAGAGGGCAACAGACCUGUCAUCCAAGGCCAAACCAAGCAAAAACUCCUGCAGUCGGCCCAAGGAUGGGAGAUGGAGGUCGACCUGGGGAGGAAGCUCCACUUCCCAGAAGCGGUACUGUCCACCACUCUGAGACCAGAUAUAGUUAUGUGGUCUCCAGAGGGAAAGAAGAUCAUCCUGGUGGAAUUAACGGUCCCGUGGGAGGAGGGAUGCGAGGAAGCGGCAGAGCGAAAGAAGACCAAGUACCAGCAGCUUGUCCAGGACUGCCGAGACAAGGGGUGGACAACAUGGCUGAUGACAGUGGAAGUAGGAUGUUGAGGAUUUCCAGCACAGUCAGUGUGGAAUCUCCUGACUAAGGUGGGACUGAGAGGCCACUUGAGGAAAACAGCCAUUCGUAGGCUGGGAGAAGCGGCAGAGAGAGCCUCAUGUUGGCUCUGGCAUAAGAGAGAGGACAAUAGCUGGAAGCCUGAAUGAGAGGCGCAGUGACCUGACCAGUCACUGCGGACCCGCCAACUUGAGGGUGUUGUGGUUAAGGGUCGAAACACCCCAUGAUGGUUGGGGACCACCUGAUGACCUCUUAUCCAGGCCAAGGCUUUAUCCAUUAAGAAAUGGAUUAUAAUCUUAUCGUUGAUGUAUUUACGAACUGAUAAUACAAUUAACUUACAUUUCUAAUUUUGUCCAAACGUAUGAUUUACCAACACCACUGGCUACAUAAGUGACACUUCCUCAAAGAAGACAUUGACUCAUAAAAUGAUAGCUUGAUGUGCUUUUAUUUCGAUUGUAGAUUGUGAAUUAUUAUUUGUAUGUAUAUAUAUAUUUUUUUUUUUCUUUGAUUAUUGUUAUUGUUGUUUUGAAUAUUGUCAUUCUUUUUGUAUGUUUGUCUUUUUUUUAGUUUACUUUCUUGUGCUGCACGCACAUGUUCGAGAAUAAAAAAAAUAAAAACAAAGUUAAAAGAACAAUCUAGAAGUAGUUUGCAUGCCCCUUUUUUAAUUAUUGUAUCUGGAUGUUAGCACAAAUUAGCAACUUUCAGUGUCUUUCUCACCAAACUAAGCUUGUUCAGUGUUUCUCAUUCGUCAAUUCAUUUUCCCCAAAUUGAAUCUAAAAAUGAAGUUUUUACUGCUUUGCUGCAUCCCAACUUUACUGUAAUGAGCGUCUCAUUACUUUCAAAAAGGAUUUAUUAACUGGCGUGAGGUUUAACACUCAAGUCUCUGCAACUUCUCACUUAAAAAAAAGUGCUUGAAGUGAUAAUCUUCUAAAUAUCUAUUUUAAUCUCAGUGAAUAGUUUAUCGUAGUGUUAUUCUGCAUUUAGGAUGUGAUAAGUUUUUUUUUUUUUCUCCUGGUUGUGUCUCAUGCAAUGAGAUAUUUUUUCAAGAGAAUCAGAUCUGCCAAAUUCAGAUAACAGCAAGAAACUGUACAGGAAUCUAAUGCAGGAAAUUAAGAGAUCGAAAAAUGAAACAUGAAAUGUUCACAGGGAGGACAGUGUUCUUGGUGAUACCCUUUGUAGACAGCUUGAAAAAAAAAGACAAUAUAGAUGGUAAUGUGAAAAAAACCUCUUUGGAAGGAUCAGAGAACCCCCGAAAUAAUCAGUGUGAUUUUCUGUGUCUCCCACAGUGCAGAACAAAUAUGAACAAUAAACAAAUUAUCAUGCAUGAAAGUUUUUCAUUAGCAUAAGGACAGCAGACAAAGACUUUCAAACUGCAGCUAGAACUGAUCCUUUAAUAUUUCAAAUGCUUCAGAAACAAAACAAAAAAAGAGAGCAGCUUGAUCUCAAGUAAGUGGCUGGAAAUGAUGCUGCCAUGCUAAAUGAGCUAGAGUAGGGGUUACACAGUCUGAAUAGAUAUCAGUCUAUUAAGUGGAUGGAAAUGCAAGGAUCACUGUGAUGCUUCUUUUUCAACUCCUUUAAGACUGGGACAGGCCAAAGUACCCAAUACUGAACCAUACCCACCAUGUGAUCAUAUAAACCACUUGCCUAUUAUGCUGUCAUAUUUCUGCCUUUCUUUAUGCACUGAAAAAAACAAUCAAAGAGAAAACAACCAGGCUUAAAGUGAUACUAUCAUUAUUGAUACAAAGACAGGAUGAGAGAAAUUGGGGCCAAAAUGUAAGUAAAUUACAUAUUGUUGGAUUUAUUGAUGCAAACAGAGUAAUUUGAUAGAGUUGAGUGGCUGCCAUUGAACAACAGAUGCCUGAAAACAAAACCAAAAAGUAAUUGCAGGGGCAUAUAAUAACCUAAAUAUCUGCUUAACUCAGAAACAGAAUUGAGUGCAAAGCCUAAACUAAUCACACUUAUCCCUUCUUAAUCUCCAUGUAGGAGUUACAUCCGCUUUCUACUUUUCUAAGGAGAAUGAUGAUGUGAGGCGACACUGUGGCAUCGCCCUGAGAGUACGUAGGCACACACUUCCUCGUGUGUCUCCACAUCUUUGCAAAUUUGACACAAACAUACCAUAAGAUUUAAGAUUUGGUUGCAGCAAACACACUGCAGUUACAAUUUACCCCUUUGGGUUUUGAAUAGAUACUUUUGUGAGGAAUUACACAAACAAAGGAAAAGGAAAAGACAAAUAUAUUUGAGGAAAAUCAUUUUGUUAAUCUCUUGUAUUGGCCUACUUCUUGUAAUUUUGGAUUACAAAGUUUUUUUUUAUGAUUUGGGUAAAAUAAAACCCAUCUUAACCUCACAUUUGAGAACCUGAAGGAGUUGGUGUAGCAUAAUUUUGUCUUUCUUAUAAAUUUGAUAACCUUAACUCAAAUCAGACAGAAGCCUGUGAAAGCACCAAAAGGUCGGCCCUAAUAACAGCAGCUUUAAAAAGUCAAUCUGCAGUGUGAACAAUGAGCAUUUCCCUCUCCUUCUGUCCUUUCCACCCCCAGAUGACUUUACAGAGCAGCAUUAGCGGUCGAUGCUAACAGGAAGCCGACUUGUGCUGUGUCCAGCUCUGUGACCAAGCCAGUGACUGCACAGAUUGGAAAAUCAAUUACCAAUCACACACUGAAGACCCUGAGAGAAACACACACACACAUACACACACAACGCUGUGGUCCCAUCUUAAACAACACAUACAGAUCAAAGACAGUGGUUCCACCUCACACACGUACACUCCCCUCGUCAGCAGUUACACAUCAGGGUGCUCUGAUGUGCCAAUAACGAGCACUGUGUUUGUGUGUCCUUGUGCAUGCAUGUGGGUGUGUUUGUGACAAGACAAGGGGAGAUAGGGUGUCAUUGCAGGCGUUGGGGAUAUGGAGAUGUAUUCAGACAUCAAUUUAUCAUCCUGAAAGCGGGGGAAGAACGAUGGAGAAAGAUGGAGAAAGGGAGGGAACAACAGAAAGAGAGCUGGGUGAGGGAGACACCAUGGAACCUAAUGCCCGACACGUUUGAGGAUACACUGCAUCAAAAUCAAACUUUUCUUUUGCAAGUAAGCCCACCUUCCUCUCAGAAAUGCAAUAUGAUUAAUUAAGUAGCUAUGUAAUGAUGGAUAUAACCCAUUGGUCGACCAGUCAGUCAUUCCACCUGCUGCAUGUGCUCUCAACCUCCUUAAUGUUGUAUUUCAUUCAUAUUUUUUAUUUAUACACGUUAUAUGAAUUCAUCUGCAAAACAGUUGAGGAACAUAAUAAAAGUAAAGGAACAAAGUGAGGCAAUUGCUGUGUUCAAGAUAAUGUAGACUGAAAUAGCUAAAUAUGUUUCUGUUGCUACAUCUUUUUUUAAAGAUCCAUAUGGCAGAUGUGUUUUCUGAAAGUUGCAUUGCUUUGUGGCUGGAUUUUAGAAAGAUUAUCAGUGGGAGCCUACAUUGAAGAAGUUACCCAGUUCAACACACUGACUGAACCACCAAUAACAAAAUGAUGGUCCCAAAAAUAAUGAAACAUCAAUAAACCAAAAACAAAACCAGAGACCCCUACAUGAUUUGAUAUACAACAUUUCAACACUACUUUUAAACAAUGUUUUACCAGCCACAAAUGUUUUAACUGAUGCCUAAGAGACCAACUUGUAGGGAGUUUAUCCUUAUCUUGAACAUUGUUACAUAAAUUAUUAAUUUAUUUAUAUGACUAUUUUACAUGUAAAAUGGGAUUAUUUCUUAAUACUGAAUUUAAAGUGGGAAGCGAUCUGGUCAAGUCUGAUGUUGCCUGACCUAUUAUCAAGCUCAUAUUCUUUUUGCUGGGCGAUGGGUCUGGGACCACUCUGAUUACAAAAGAUUUCCCAUCGUUGUCAGACAUACCUGACCAAUCACAGUGGUUUGCUUAAAAACGGGGUGGCUUUAUUAAGGUGACAACACAGGACAGACAAACUGUCACGAGAGGAUAAAGGAGAGCAGGGAGAGGAGCAGGCAGAGACAGGUGUGUGUGCCUGAAAAGCCGAAGGACAGAAUAAGUGUGGCAAAAGAGAUAACAGCAACCACAAAGGUGCAAGAGCAUUAACAAGCUAAUGAAAUCUGCUUGUAUCAUAGUCAAACAUAAGUCUAGUCUUCACGUAAUAAAGGAGGAGGCUUAAAAACACUGAAAGAUAUGAUGUAUCUGCCUGUGAUAAAAUGAAGGACAGGCCCAUCUACUUUUUAUAUAGCUCAAACUUAGUUCCUGCAUUGCAAAAAACUCUGUAUAAAAAAAAAAAACAAAAAACAUUUUGAUGUAUCCCAGCUGAGCUCAGUUAACUUCAAUUCAGUUCAGAUUAUGUUGCAGCUCAUUUGGAAUUUGCUCUCAUAGCCAGCAUGCCCACCUGCCCACUGGCUGGGUCAGCAACAGCAGAGGACCCUUGGUGAUGAUAACCAUUCUGGAAAAUGAAAAAAUACACACGGCAAACUCAGUCUUUACUGCCAGACAAACAAACCAACCAUUGCUUUAUUUUUAAUGUAUCACACUAAUAACAGAGACAGAAAUAUCAGUUUGUCUGCAGUCUCAACAGUUUGUUGUUACUAUAACAUAAAAACAGAGAGCAUUUCUGUUAGGGUUCUUAAUGGAAAAGGUUAAAGCAUCCAAAAACAUUGUCUAUUCAUCCAAUUAGAUAGCAAGUGACUGGAGCAUAUUAUUUUUGUGUGCAAAGGUCACAUUAAUGAGCAGCAGAGAGCCGAGGAGACGGAGCCAUACAACUGUCAGACACAAUCUGUUAGGAGGCUAGGGGACCGAGGUCAUUGGACUCUGCAGCUCUGACUGACCCAUCCAGUUAGUUGUCAAAGCCGAUUAGUAGGUAGAAACAAGGCCUCAACCCGCCCUAAAGGGAGCAGCUGUCACAAUUACACAUAUAGAUAUUCUCUCACUUGUAGUGUAGACAUGGAGUUUUAAUAUUAAACACGGAAUUCUGUCUGUUUUCAAUUAAAAAGAGGCUGAUAAGAAGUUCAGCACAUCAUUCAGGCUAACUAAAAAGUUGUUGGAAGAGAUGUGUGGCACAGAACUCUUCAGAGUGUAGAACUAUUUUCACUUUUUAAAAGUGUGUGCAAAAAUGUGUUGAUAUAAAGUUUUUAAUGAAGUUUCAGACGUUUAAAGCCACAAACUUUAGUUUUAUCCCGUUCAAACAGAUUUUGAUUUGGCCUCAUUUAAGGCUGUAAAGUCCUAGUUGACUUUUUGGUCGAUACGUGCUGAGUCAGCCAAAAUACUGAUUGGUGGACUCAUUUUUUUCCACUUCAAUUCACAGACUAUGGUUAAUUUCACCUGGAGGAACAUACCAAGUGCUAAUGGGGGUGUUUUCAGACCACCCCUGUUUCACAGCUAACAGUCUGUCUCAGAACACCCCCCUUGUUUUCACCUUUUUGGAUUCGCCCAACCCACCGAAGACAGGCUGGAGACGGGAAGAUUAAAGAGCAUCUACGGUAAUCAAUGUCUGAAUAUUUAUUUUUAGUUUGAGUGUUUCAACUUUCACGUGAGUCCUCCUCUACCAUCCAUGUCAAAGACAUCAGCAGUGUGGCAGAAUUUACCAAAAUAGAUGGCAGAUUAGGUUGUGUUUAAUUGCCUUCUUGUGCUGGUAUCAGUAUCUUUUCACCCCACUGAGCCACGCUCCACUGAGCCACACCAUCCCCCACCGCAGAUGGGCUUGCCGUUUUAGUCGACCAAGAACUUCUUUGGAAGAUGGCAGCCCUAGCCUCAUCCCUAUCAUAUCCAUUCAUUUCAUGUUGGGUAGGAUCAAAUAUACUGUUCUUAAACAGCCUCUGCUGAUGCUUCAUUAUAUUAAUGUGUUUUUGUGUCAGUACUAAAAAAAUUUAAAAAAUUACAACAGGUCACAUUUUGUUCAAAAUAUAACUCCCAUGAAUCUUAUUAUGCUGAACAUUAUCCUACAAUAUCUUUAAGACAUUAUUUACUUUGGAUUGUGACUAACUACUUACCCUGGCAGCCUUCUAAUAUAAUGAGCCAAGUAUGAAAAGCUGUGUAAACACUAAUGAUCUGUGAUUACAAUUGAACAGUUUGAUAUGACAGCAAAGGUUUAUGGUGAACAAACAUACUCUUUGUGGUGUAUUUUUAUUCUGAUAGUAAAUAGUAAUAAAAAGGAUCCUUCACACAUGAAGUAUCUGUUAAACUGAAAUGAUUUGUUUACCUCAGUUCUUCAUAUUGUUAUAACUGCUUUCACUCAAAGGGAAUUUUUUUUUGAAUGAGUGAUUGUUUCAUCUUUUGUCCGUAUUAACCCGAAAAUCCUGAAAAAGGGGAAAUAAACUGGUGUUAGCAUUCUUCCAACUUUAUUGAGCUGCUCAGUCUGUAAUGAUAGGAGCACAUUUAUCUUGCUCAUUUCUCAUCUGUCUGAGGUGAAUAAAACCAAGCCUCAAGUCUGAUGGAAACGCACAAAUAGAUCCUCUUUUCUGUGUGAUUCUUGGUUCUCUUCACUUCUCUCUAUCUCUGUGUAAUGUAAAUAAAAGUUUCAAAGGCUUGUCGCCUAUACAGGCUGCACCCUGAAGCAAAGAGUAAACAGAGUAUAUUUCCCAGCACAGUCUUCUUUUCCCCUCUGUCUUUUUUUUUAAUGUCAAAUGAAAACAAUGUAUUUCUCCAGUGCAUGCCGCUUGGAGAAUAAAGCCUUGCAUAUGAUUACUAGUUGCUGCAGACUUGCAGGAGCAGGUUUGUUAUUCUGGCUGACAGGUCUGCAACAGUUUCAAGCUCAGACUGGAACACUGUGAACUUCAAACUGAAAAGUUGGUUAUGGGGUUUGGAAGGUUUGUUGAUACUUGAACUCAACAGACUGACAAAUACACCCUUACCUUCAGUGCUGUUUCAAAGGCUCCAUCCUCCAAACACAUGGACAUGAGCCGCCAGAGAAAACACUGGCAGCCAAUGAUGAACCAAACACAGACCAAACACAACUCACCCAACUCUGCUUCAGCAGCCGCUUGUUUGUGGGGAAGCACUGAUGAGUCAAUCACAGAGUGCAGCGGAGUUACGCAGCUCAAGGAAGAACAUUUAUGAUUAUUACUUCAUGGAAAUACGAAAACCGAGAUGCUAAGACAGAUGAACUACUGUGUCUGCAGUGUAAAAUGGUUCUUAUGAUGAGUAUUUCUUCAUGGAAAUGAUCCACUGCACUCGGUGAUCGACUCGUCAGGGCUCCCCCCACAAACAAGCGGCUGCUGGAGGAGAGUGGGUGAGUUGUGUUUGGUCUCGUUGCUAAAGAAAUCAGGCAAAGCUAAAAAAAUGUUUGAUGGCUAGUACUAUGGCUGGGACCCUCUAUGUACUGUUGAUGAAGUUAGGUGCUGUUCUGAACAUUAUUUGUGUCUAUAGAGUGGCUUUUUGGUUGAGGUUUGCACAUGGAGACGUAGACUGCUGUGUAUUACUAUCAUGCAAUCAUUACUAAAGUCGGUAUAACUAGAGAAGCAAGCAGUCGGCAGCAUUCACCUCUCGAGGGGGUGUCUAACUCACUGUGUUUGACUGAAAUGUCUGCUGGAACUUCCCUUUAAAGAAUUGAUUAACAGUAACAGGAGAACAUGUAUUAUUAUUUGAAUGUUUUGUGGGUGUAAAAAUUACAUUCACCCUAAUGCACAAGAUUUCACUAUCUUUGCUUUUUCUGAAUCCUUUCCCUCCUGCAGCUUUCUGACUUCAUUCAUAGACAUAAAUCUUCACAUUCAACAUUUUUCAUGCAAAUUUAAAAACUACAAAGUAUUGUGUUGGAAGAUUACGUGCCCUGCUUAGCUAACACCUGUGGGUUUCAGCUGAUGUACUGGAGAUAUGUACGUGGUUAGAUCUACAUAUUUAAAUAUGUAUGUCCAUGUCUUUAAACAGCAACUAUUUGAGGCGGACCUUUGAAUGUGUUGUUCAUCCAUUUGAGGGUUUUGUGUAUAUCCCUUGAGUAGAGUAAAGGUAACAAGCUCAGAAAAAGACAAAUGCACAAAAACACAUACACAUAAACACAGGGGAUGAGUGGGACAUUUGACAGCAGAGCCAACGGCCACAGCUCUUUCAUUUUGUCUUUUAGAAGCACAAAACACAUUCAGUCCGUAUUUAUCUCUGUGCCUUCAAAGGCAGCCAUCAACAGGCAGGAAGAAAGAGAGACAAAGAGAGAAGGAUGAAAGACGGCGACUCUAAAGUGCUGUGGCUCAGUUUUAUUAGAGAGGUUGAAAGCAUUGGCUCUUGGCAACUAUAACAUGAUGAAAUCGCCCCAGCUGAUUAAAUGAAUCUGUGGUGAAAUUUAAAAAAUAUAUAUAUAUACAUGUACCUGCAUGUCUGAAAAAACAAAUAUGAAACAAAUGCUUUGACAAGUUAAACCAACAAGCUUACAGGUGACAUGAAUUGCACACCAAACUUCAUUUCUCAUCACUCUGAUUGGUCAGUCAGGUAGUUGCUGUCAAAGGCAGCUGUACAACCAUAGAAUGUAUAUAGAAUGGACGUCAUAAAUCCCACCUCCUCCAGCUAACCCUAUGGAGCUGUGGACAAACUUUAGAAAUUUAUUACACAGAAUAUAAAUGUUUCUCCCCCCUGGUUGCGAUGUUGACAUGUAGUUACUGUAAGACUGAUUAGUGCUCUAGUCCUCUUUUUUUCUGUACAGCUCUAUUUUUAAAAGUUAUUAGGGGGUUCAUGUUUUCUAUGAUUGACACUUGAAACAGCCAAUGGGCGUACGAAGAUUGCAUAGCUCACCGCCGACAUCAUCACAGCAAAUCUCCCGCUGAAUGUGUACAAUGCUACUGCUUUUGGGAUGAUUAUGUGACAGCAAAGGUUGUGCCAACAAACUGAACCUUUAAAGUAAAUUGUAAAACCAAAAGUCAUCUCUGACUUUUGAAACAAUUUCUACUCAACCCCAUGCCCAUCACGUUGCUUACUUCACCGGUGUGACCUUCCUCACUUACACAUGGGUCAAGGAUUCAUUGUUUUUCAUUUGUGAAUGGGAAACCAAAUAUCUGUUAUUUUCUUUUCAGCUGCAAAACAAAAAUUGGAAUAACUAUUUACCAUCUGAAUAAAAAAAAUCAAAGCACCUUUGGCCCAUUUUUCACAUUAAAACUUUUUGUUUCUCCCUUUACAAAGUCAUGGGGCUGGUUGAUUGUUUUUCCAUUUCUCUGUGCAAAGCAUGAAAAGCAAGCCCUGAUACUUUUUCCACAUUCCUUUAAUCACUCCUAAUUUAGUCAGACAGUUAGACGUGGAUAGAAGGCAGGUGGAAAAUUUUCUGAAUAAAAGUCAAAAGAAUGGCUGAAUUAUGCUGGCAAUGGUAGUAACAAGUAUUGAACACAUAAUCUAUUAUUCAGAGUAACAUCAGAGGAAAGGAAAAUGAAGGCCUGCAUGAGCUCGAUAAAGGUCUUGAUUUAUUUUAUUCAGACAUUAAAUCAGUUAUCCUUUUUCCAUGUUUGACAAAGGAAAAUAAAGGAAGAAAGAAUGGAAAGCUAAUAUUAUGUCUAAACAUGAGGACACUUUUUUUUUUUUUUUUAAAGUGUACUGAACUAUUAGCAAUCAGAUGGCUAACCCCCUAUUACCCCAUGUAGCUGCUGACAGUUAGAAGUAUUUUUUUUUAUUAAGCAGUUUUCUUAUUAUUUAUUAGUUAUGGCAAGUUGUGAGCCAGUUGACAUUUUCAAAGUGCGGACAGGCCAAUCAUAAUUGAUGCUUUUUAAUGUUUUAAUUAGAUGAACUAAUGAUCUGUAAUGUAACAUUUAAGGUGGGAGAGUUUAACUUAAAUAUGACAGGUUUUUAAUCCAGUCUGCCUUUACUUUGACACGUCUCUCGUGCACUUUUACUAAAAUGAUUUAAUGAGGAAAUUUGAUCACUUUUCUUUAAUAAAUGUUUACUUUAGGGAAUGCAGAUACCACGUGAUAGCUCUAACUAUUAAUCAUGUGCAACAAACUUUGGGCCAAAAGGUUUGCAUGUACAAAAAUACAUAUAAACUUGAUAAUACAUGCAAAGCUUAUCUACUAACGGGGUACACCAAGGAUUGCGUCUGUCAAAUAGGCAAAACAGCACAUGUAAUUGAUUUAGCAUGCUUGCCUUCAUAGAUUUGCAGAAUGUAUGUAGAUCAUUAGAACGCGCAAAAUACCGGGAGGAGCAGAUGCAAAUAGAAUCAUUCAGAACCCGCAAUGUGAUCUAUCAAACCCGGAAACCAAUUACAGUUGCUGUUUUGUGUUCAAAUUUACCACAUUUGAAUGGCACGUGCAAACUAGCACAGUGUUACGCACACAUGGCUGCAGUCAUUGUGGGAAGAAGAAAGCAAAAGUGCAAUGAUAGACGACAGAGACAGAGAGUCUUCCAUGCAUGUGUCAAUAUAUUUGCACUGUCAGAAAUAAAAAUAGUAGAGUAAUAAUAAUAGUUCUGCUUUUUUGAGCUGCUGGGUGACCUAAAGGCUGAUUUGGAGCUAGUCACAAAAAUGAUGAAUGCCAUAUCUCAUGUUGAAAAACUCCUUGUAACACAGCAUUUUCCUGCGUCUAGAUCAUUCAGCACACCAUUGUAGUUAGUGCAUCUCCCCGAACAGUUUUUCUGGUGUGCUGUCCCAAAAGUUGAAUGCUAUGUCACCCAGGAUGUGCAAGUAUAUCCAGUUCUCACACACUCAGGACACAGUAAAUGACAGAUCUUGGGGACCUGUCAAUUCUUGGAGACUUGAGCUGAGUGCUGCAGAGCUCCGGGUCUAAAAGCUUAGGAUUUUUUUCGAUUUUCCAGUAAAUUGUGGUUUUCAUAAAAAAUUAGGUCAAACACAGAGCAGUCAAAAAAAAUGUAUCUGUUUGUCUUAUUGAUUUUAAAUUGUUUAAAUCUUUUUUUUUUAUUUCAAAUAUAUUUCCUGGCAUCUGUAAAAGACUUUGAAAUACCUUGCGUAUGAACGGUGCUGUACAAAUAAACUUGCCUGCGUUGCCAUUUAUGCUGUUCCCCAAAAUGAUAGGUGCAACUCCAGGGCUUCAAACUUAAUUUUUCAUCUAUGGCCACUCUGCACUCACAAACUCACCAUGGUGACAGCCGAUAGCGCACACAAAAUCCUUAUUGAAAGAGGGCCGUUCACACUACUUUUGCACAUGUUAUCAAUUGCGCACACAGUGAUAGUAGAUCACCUGCAACACGCCCACUAAUAGCAUGUGCAAUUUUUUAGUUUGCACACACAAUUUAGUAACCCUUAUUUGGGAUCUUGGUAGAUCAGGCCCUAUGUGUUCAAUAUGUGCAGCAGUGUGCUGACGUGAGCUAAUGCUGUGCUAACAUGCCGUCUUCAAUAUAUGGCCUGCAGGCAGGGAGGAACUGGCCAGCAUCAACAGUGCUCAAUAAUUCAUAAUACACAAGCCUUAUUACAUACAGCUCUAACACACACUGCUUGCAGGGACACCCCAUUAUCUGUUCAACACACGGCCGUGCACUAACAGAGGCAUACGAGUGUCAUCAUCACUGCUAUCACUGGUCCAAACAGCUGGAGGAGAUAUGAGCCAGAGAGAGAGGUAAAGCACUCUGGGUGAGGAUGGAGGGGGGGGCAAACAUCUACAUCUUUGUGGAUAAGGGAAUUGAAAAUGCUGUAGCCAAUUUUCUGCUAAUCAAUAAUAGAUAUCCAGUAAUAAUUUCUGUAACUCAAAAAGCUAGAGUAAGGGGGAUGGGAGAUAGAGGAGAAAUCAGAGAAGAAGGGAUAGAGGAAUUGAAGAGGAGAAAUUACAAUGAACAGGCAAAUGAAGAGUAUCUUGGUUUGUCUACAACAAUGAGCUGCAGGAUUAUUUCUCCUUGGAACCUUAAGGAUUUUUUCCUGCCAUGGUAUCAGUGCAGAUCUGUAGUUCCCCACAAAAGUGGUGGGAGAUAAAUCUCAAGAGGGUUUUUUUAGGAUUUAAAUGGCACUGGUAGUGAAAAACACAGGAACUCAGAAUCCCAUCCUUUUUCCUUAUCUCUAGUUUUGAAAUGUUAUAGUCGUAUUAUUUCAGGGCUAUUUGUAAACCUAAUAAAACUAUCAAAACCUAAAAAAAUGAUCACAACUGAGACAUUUGUAUCACACAGAAAUGGCUUGAGUUUAGAGGGUCACUGUUUUGUAAAAAGAACUGCUCCAGCUCCUCUUGAGCAAUACUUGUUUAGUCUUAUAAAGAUUAUGUUUCACUUGCUUUAUGUUUUAUAGUAUCUAGUUUUUCAGUGCUUUGUAAUUUUACAUUUGAGCUUGACUGUUCAGUUAUUUUCUGAGGUACAGAAUAAAUAUAACAGUUUGUUUCGAUGAAUGCCAAUUCAUGCAAAUUGCCAUAGACCUGCAGAUGUCAGAUUUCAAACCGACCCACCCUGCAGGUGUCUCCAUUUAUUUCUGCUGAUUAGAUCUCCAGUCAGGACUGCGUGAGUGUUUACUGACCGUGCUUUACUGACAUCUUGCCAACUUUUCUGCUAGUUUUAUGGCACCUAUUUUGAUUCUUAAAAGUCUUUAAACAGCAGCUUUGGAGCCUCUGCAGACUCCCUGCAGAUCUGUACCCUAAUUCAGCAUGAGAACAUGUCUAAUCACUGCAGGUGAAAACACCUGUGUGGGUGUGCAGGAUACCUUUCGGGUAUCUGUGCCCCUUUAGUACAACAAGAAAGGUUUUGAGUUCAGGAUACCUCAUUCGCUCACAUUCUUUACAGUGUUGCAUUUUAAUAUUAGUUAUAUCCUCUCAAGGCGCAGCUCAAACACCCCCGCUACACCUGUAAUGUACAUGUUGACAGUGGCAGCCUGCAGCUUCUGCAUUGACUUAACAGUAGGAGAGCAGUAAAUAGUCUCAGCAGCAGGGUUUAAUAAUGACACAGACAGGAAUACAAGUCUCUGGUGGUUCAGAAAGAUGCUGGAUUUAUUGCUCAUAUAGCCACAGCGGGAUAAGCCUUCGGAGUCAUAUGUUUGUUAGAAGGAAUUCACAGCAGUAGUAAAGGUAGUCUUCCAUAGAAAACAGUAAUAGACACAACAGAGGAUGAUGAUAUAGCAAAACAACCUUUCUUAAAUAGAUAUAAUGCCAUGGGUUCUCAAUGCUGGGCUAUUUUUAUUUUUCGCUUCGAUAAUGUGAAUUUACACUUUAAUUGUUGUCCGUAAUGCUGCCCUGUAACUUUAACUGUCUCCACAAACCAUGUGCAAAUAAAAUCAUUCAGGUGACUGAAUUACAUGUUAAGUCAAUGCAAAGAUGCGAUUAGACGCUUCUUCUACUCUGGCAGCGCGAAUGACGCAAAUUGAGCGGGAGCUGUAAUAUCUUGACUUGAGCAGAUAUUUGCAUCGCAGUAACUAAUCAGCAUGGACGGUUGUUCACUGGUAUCUAAAAUGGAGGACAAACUGGUCAUGUCAAUGUGUGGGUGCCCUGAAUUAUAUGAUACCUUUUCUUUCAAUUACCAGAAACCAGAAUAAAAAGGAGCUCGCCUGGAGGUAAGUGAGUGAGGAGGUCGGCUUACCUGGUAAAUUGUAAAAAACUUCAGUCUAUCACUUGAUCCCGCUGGCUGAAUUGGCAGGAGUUACUGUUUAAAUUACUGUUGACGUGCGAUUGAAGCAAGUAAAUACAAAUCAUUUAUGCGUCUAGAUUCGCAUGAAUUAAGCGAGUCAAUGAUUUUACUCGUGCUUGGUGUGAGCGCCCCUUAACAGUGUCUUAACAAUGCGAAUCAGUGCAAAAAGGUCCUAGUUAUUUCAAAUUCUUGUGUGAGAGCAAGCUGUAAUGAAUGAAAAUGUUUUGUAAGCCUGGUAUGACACGUGGAUAUGACCCAACUUCUUUAUGAUGUCUUCUCUAUGAUGAAAAAUCACCUCAAACUCUGGCUUUUCUUCUUUUUUUUAAUUCAUUUUUUCAUAGGAGUCCAAGUUUGUUUUGUAAGAAAGGCCUUGGCAUGAAACAACCCAGAGUUAGAAGAUAAUUUUAGAAUCCAUCCAGGUGUGUUUCACAAGAGCUCAGAUUUGCUUGGGAAGAUAAAAUAAAACAGUUUGACAUUCUGCACUGCACAGCAACACUCUAAGAUCACCUCUUUCACCAUAACAAGACAUUUUAGUCUCUUCCAUAUAAAAAAGUGCUACAGCCAGAGCUGCAAUUUAAAGCUUUUAUUUUAUUUUUUAUUAAUCCUGAAUAGAUAGACAGAGUGGCUUAGUGAGCUAUACUUCAUUGUCUUAUUGAGUGUCAUUGGUAGCUGAAUGACAUCUGUUAAGGGCAUCUGCUCCAAGGAGAGAGGGCCAUUACUGACAUGAAUACACACAUACACACCGUUGAGCAGUGAAGUGAGAGAGGUAAGCAAUAACAGCCAACUCCUGCCAAUGAUGCUCUGAGUUAGCAUUGCCUCAGGGUAGAGGAUGGCAAGAUUUGUUCUCUUCUUCCUCCUCUAGUGUAAAUAAAGACAGAGACAGGUCAUCCAUUCUGAAUGGAACUACAGAUGUGGUCAUAUUCCUCUAUCCUGAUUAUCCUUGCUAAUACAGAUAUUGACUCUAUCAAGGAGGAGCUUAGUAAAUUGCCAUUUUCUUCUUCUUUCAAAUCCCCCACCCCAUUUUCCUCACUCCACCCUUCUCUAUCUUGACAGUAUAAAUUGGUCAUACAUAAUGGAUGAGCAGACAUAGGCGGAAGCAGAGCUUUUCUCACAGAAAUUGAACCAGAGGUUGGUUUAAGGUGGGAAAAACAUGCCAGCUUUUUACACACCCUCUACAUAUCCUUGUGAAGUCAUGUAUGUGUUUUCAGUGCACCAGAUUCCUAUGUGAAACAUUAUGAAAAUGUCUCCUCUCCGUAAAAUCGGGAUAUGCAAAUUAUUCUAAAUGUACCAGUUCAAGGCCCCAUUCAGAUCCAUAUAAUAAAUCCCCAUUUCUAUGAAGUUGGGACGUUGAAAAAAUGUGGAAGUACAAUUAUCACAGAAUACAAUUAUUUAUCGAAUCCUUUUUAACCUAUAUUCAACUGAAUACACUACAAGGAUGAGAUAGUAAUGUUAAAACUUAUCUACUGAAGUUUAUUUUCUUUUCUUUUGCAAAUAUUCAUUCAUUUUGAAUUUGAUGCCUGCACCAUGUUCCAAAAUAGCAGGGUCAACUAAAGACUGGAAACCUGCUCCAAAAACACCUGUUUGGAAAAUUCCACAGGCAAACAUGGUCAAUGAAAACAGGUGAGUGUCACGAUCGGGAAUAAAAGGAGCAUCCUCAUAAGGCUCAGCAGUUUAUAAGUGAGGACAGGGUUAACAUUUACCAUUUUCUGAACAACACUAACGUCUGGUUCACACUGGAAGCGCCGCGCACAGAGUUUCAGAUCGGCGCCCAUGUUAACCUAUGAGACUGUUCACACAGCACGCGUGCGGAAGCGCCGCGCGCGGAACGGCUCGCGCUCUGGAGCGCGGCUGCUCCGCUUCUCUCUACUUUUGGCGCGAGCCGCGCGCGCCGAUGUAAAGCUCAACAGAGCAGAUCGGACCAGACAGGAAGUCAGGAAGGAGAUGCGAGAGAAUCCGGUCAAUUUUCAAAAUAAAGUAAAUUUCAAUAAAUUAGAAAAAGAUUGACGGUGUUGCUUGUCGGUCUAUUUUUUUUACCGAUGAACACACACACACACACACACACACACACACACACACACACACACACACACACACACACACACGGAGGGAGAGCUGCAGAGAUUCAGUGAUGUUAUUGAGACAAAGAGGGGGGGGACUUUAUUACGAUACAGUCAAUAGCCUCGAGCUAACAAGGCUAUACAUACAACGGAGUCAACAGACUCCCCAAUUUAUUCGUCGUUUACCCCUAUAUAAUAAUUUAAAACAAUACUUGAAGAUGCUGUCAAUAUUUAAUUCAUGUAUGACGAAAUAAAAACGUAAAUAAAUAGUGAUUUACCCAUUUUUAAAGCGCUCGUAAGUGUGGAAAACUGAGGGCAGACGGAAACGGCCGAGCACUACCGGGCUCAGUCGAUGUCUGACCGGCAUGUCAGAGCGCAGCAGAAAGCGCUUCCUGUGUGAACAGCCAAGCGCGAGCCGGCGCUGCGCGCGCGCGGCGCUUCCGUUCCGCGCGCGCCGCUUCCAGUGUGAGCCAGACGUUAGAAAAAUGUUUCCCAAUUUACAGUUUCAGGAAUUCAGUGAUUUCAUUAUCCACAGUCCAUACGAUUAUCAGAAGAUUCAGAGCAUCAAGAAAGUCUCUGCACACAAGACGUAAGGCGGAAGACAAACAUUGAAUUCUUGUGACCUUUGAUUCUUUGAAUGGCACUGCAUUUAAAAAUAAAUAAAACCCACAUCAUUCUGUAAGGGAUUGUCACUCGUGGGCUCGGAAACACUUCAGAAAACCAUUGUCAGUUCACACAGUUCAUCUCUAGAACUUUAAGGUUUCAUUCAAACUCUUUCAAACAAAACCAAAGCCAGAUAUCUACAACACCCAGAAACAUCGCUGGCUUCUCUGGACCUGAGCUCAUUUUAGAUGGACUGAAAGUGGAAAAGUCUGUUGUGGUCUAACAAGUCCACGGUAUAGGGGUGUGUUGGUGUCUAUUGCAUGGCUAACUGCCACAUUUGUGAAGGAUCCAUUAAUGCUGAAAGGUACAUACAGAAUAUGGACCAACAUGCUGCUAUCCAAGCCACAUCUUUUUCAGGGAUGAAUCUGCUUAUUUCAGCAAGACAAUGCCAAGACACAUUCUGCACAUGUUACAACAGCAUGACUUCGUAGUAAAAGAGUGCGGGUACUUGACUGGCCUGCCUGCAGUUCAGAACUGUUCUCAAUUGAAAAUGUGUGGAGCAUUAUGAAGCACAAAAGGAAGACCUCAGACUGUUGAACAACUGUAGUGGUCCAUCAAGCAAGAAAGAAAGAAUUUCACCUCCGAGCUCCAAGCUUCAACAGUUAGCGUCUUCAGUUCACAAACUCUUACUGAGUGUUGUUCAAAGGAGAGGUGAUGUAACACAGAGGUAAACAUGACCCUAAUCCCAGCUUUUUGGGAAUAUGUUACAGCAUCAAAUUCAAAAUAAGUAAAUAUUUGCAAAAUAAAUCAAUCAACUUAUCAGUUUGAACAUUAUAUAUACAGUAUUUUCCUUUUCUUGUUUUCAACUGAGCAUAGGUUGCAAAGGAUUUUAAAAUCAUUGGGUUCUGUUUUUAUUGUUUUAGAUGAUGUUCCAACUUCACUGGAAUUAAGGUUUGUACUCUCCUGGUCCCUAAAUACGUUUCACAAUUCACACCCAUCUAUUUUAAUAGCCAGUUAAAGGGUCGCACUGUGGAGCCCUGCUCUCGUUACCAUCUCUGUUCCAACUAAAAAUAUAAAGAAAGGUUAAAAAACUCUUGAUAUGGUGCGAGAAAAAUAGGGUCUAUUGUCUAUCUAUGGGGGCCUAUUAUGAAUCAAGUUUUAGCAGUCACACACUCCAGCUGUAGCUCAUAUUUGACAACUCGCAUCUUAUUUUGGUAAGCAGUGACUGACAAGUCUUUUUCAGGACCUGCAGAAUCAUAACUGGUUUUUGUGUUUCCUCUGAGCUAUUAAUACUGCCUUUCUCCCAUGUUUUCUUUGGUUUUCUCAGCUUAUUUACAUGAAUCUGAUUUGUGAAAACUCUCCGGUAAGGAGGACUUGAAGUCAGCUUCUCCCUGCGGAUUGUUUGUUUCCGUGACUGGCUGACUCCUGAGUGAUGGGCGGCAGACUAAAGCUCUCCACAUAUUACUGACAGCCACAUAUGAAUGACAAUGUGUCAUGUAGGACAGCAGGCAGAGCAGCUGUGUCAGCCGAUGCCACUCACACAUUGGCAUAUUGAUGCAUUUUAUGCCCACAGACAAGACUGUGCGUGUGUGUGUGUGUGUGUGUGUGUGUGUGUGUGUAAGAGGAAAUGAGAGUUACCGUUAAUCGUGUAUUUCUGCAUUUUUCUGUUCACUUUUGUGUUUUUUUUGCUUGUGUGCAUGUGCACGUGUGUGAGUGUGUCAUUUGCAUGCAGCUCAUGAUGACCCCUCUCCUCUCAUCUCAGAUUCUCAUUAAUUCAGAGACCUGCCGGUGCUCACACACACAUGCCACAAACACACACACACACACACACACACACACACACACACACACACACACACACAGGCUUGACACAGGUCAUCACAUUUUCAUCACUGCACCCUGCCCCUUCAAUCUCUCCUUCUCCUCAUCUUUCUUCUUACACUCUGCCACUCUCCCCCCCCCACCCCCCCACAUAUGCCUCCCCUCCUUCUUUCUUUCGCUCUCUCCCUUCCCGUCCUGUCUGUCCCUCUCAUGUCUAAUUGGGGUAAACACUCUGAGCAGGUUAUUAGAGACACCUCGAUAUGUAGACACCUCGUUGUGACACCCCGCCAUUAUGUCCCUAUUACUGUGACACCCUCUCUUGCCACGUGUAUGAUGACACCUCAGUGACCCUGUUAUGUCCUCAUUAUAUUGGCCCCCUUGUGUAAUGACUUAAUGACGUCUUCUCAAUAAUACUGUGUUGAAACUUUCGGCGUUGUUGGCCAUAAUGGCACAGUUCCGUCGCCAUUAUUGGAAAACCGUCCCUUUAAUUAGCGUGAGACUCCAGCUUUAGCUGCUGGCACUAACCGGCAGAAAGUGACUGACAGAAAAGAGACAAACAAACAUGGAAAACUGUCAAGUCUCUCAUUUCUGGGGGUUGCAAAAUUGACAAAAGACAUUUUUUUAGUGGGAGAUUAAAAAAAGUCUUUGGUUGGCCCUUUUCAAUGUCUCAGUGAGGAAUUUGUGCUUUUUAUCAUUUCAUGUCUUUUCAAGCUAAACAACAUAAAACUUGUGCAGCUGAUGUUAUGUAUGUUAACAUCUGCUAUGAUGCUUAAAGCUGCACUACAUCUUUCGCAGUUUCUCAGGUGUCCACUGGCUCAUCAGACAGUACAUUGUUACCAUGGGCUCUAGUUUUGUGUCCGCCGGUGAGGCGGCAGAGGGUGGCGGAUCCCACGCAGUGGUAUUUUCGUCUGGCGGAGCCCGGCGUACAGCCAAUUUGGUAUUUUCGUGACUAAGGCGCACCGAGGUCCGCCAAGCUGGGCGUGGUGGCGUGGCAGGGGGAGGUGUCAACAGAAUCAGCUGGCGCAGUGACAUUUUCAUGCUCGCCGGUGGCGUAUAAAGUGCGCUGGAAGCUCACCGAUUCAAACCUGGUCAGCUUUCAGUGCAGGCGGAGCGCAGCUGGUCUAGUGGUAUUUUGGUAGACCAGCGGCGUAUCGGCAUACGUCACCGAUGCCUCACAGGCAGGUUUCCACAGUGUCAGGCACAUUUCAGUGCAAUAAAUAAGUAAGCACAUACAUUUAGAUCUAUAUAGAUAUAUUCUGAUCUAUAUCUGAUCUGAUGUGCGCGUUUGGCAUGCGUUUGGACACACAACCUGACUGAAUCAACACAGCUGAAACCGCAUUAAAUUAAAUUAAAUAUCUAGUAAAUAGACACACAUGAUGAAGUGAACAAGAUAUGUAAUUCGUCUCCCUCCUUUUCUUUUUUCCUCUUCCUCUUAUUUCACGCGCAGCUCGACCUGGACACGUCUCCGUGUCCUAUCCCUGUCCUACUGCAGCUGCUGCUGCGGCUGAACAGAUGAUUUGUUACAAUGAUCAGAUGAGUUAUUUAUUUUAAGCCUACAUACAAAUAUUAUAAUAUUGAUUUUUGUGGGCCAAAUUUAUUUUAUAUGCCAACAUCUAUGAAAGAAAGAGCCGGGCCAUGGAGCGCGAUGCGUCAUUUACACACAGAUGGUUCCAAUUUUAAUGCCAUUUUUGGAAUUUAUGUUGUGAUCUCUGCGCACAACCCACCUUUGUCACGCGAGGUUUGAAUAUGUGCAACUUUAUGUGAGUGUCUUUAUUUGUGGAAAAGGGUGUUUGUCUUACCAGUGGGUCCAACAUUACACACACCAAAUCCAUCUGUGCUCAUAUGAGAGAGUGUGAAGGACGCCCAAUGCAGCGUUUACAGCAACACUUGUUGAGGUGCUGCCUUCUGUCGCCAUCGUGUGGCAUUGCUGUCUUCAGACAUCUCUUGAUCUCUUUGACUACUUUACGAAAAUAGUAAUACGCCUCGCCAGUGGCAGAUUUAAAGGCAAGGAGGGGAGCUGUUGUUAUUGGUCAAUACAGGUCUCGGCUGUGUUUAACCCACUCCGAGCCCUCUCUCCUCCCUCGCUACGACUAACGCCGCUGUGAGGAGCUGAUUUAGGGAGAAGGGAUACUUACGCCGGGCUGCACCGCUCACCAAAAUUACAAAUAGUGCUUGGGAAUGCCUUGUCGGCGCGGCGGACCUGACUUGCGCCACGCCUGCGCCACGUCUCCGGCAAAGCACAAAAAUGGAGCCCCUUAAGUUUGAUUGGCGUUAGAGGUUUGUGUAGGCAUAAUCUAAAGAUUUUUUUUGCAGCGCAUUCUUACAUUUUUCACAGCCAGUAAGUGAUGGGAAGAACAGUUCUUUCGACUGUAUUGAAUCUUUAGAAUCCGUUCAUUAAAAUGAUUAGUCAAAAAGAUCGACGAAUCAGUCAGUGCUUCAGAGCCCCGUCCUGCUGGUGCAGUGCACAAGUUCGUUCAUUGAACAAGCCCCGUCCCUCCUCUGCGGCUGAAGACACAGCGUCAUUUACUGGGUGACACAUGUCCUUCAUUCGCCAAAUCAUGAAGGAAGAAUAACUCCCCUGCCCUGAAAAACUUACCUCUCUGUGUGCUGCUGUUGAACGCUACAUGAGCAAGAGUCAUGGUUCUUUUAUAGUGGGAAAUGUGGAGAGAUUAAAAAUAAACAUCGUAGCUGUAGCGGGGAUUCUGAUACUUUAAAAUAUAUCAAAUAGCCUAUUGCUUUAAAUUGGCUGAAAUUAAAUCCUUCUUGCAGGAAAGUUUAUAGACGUGUGUUAAUGUAAAGGCACUAUAAUGCAUUGUUUUAUUGUAGCCUACAUUUAUCCUCACAGUGAACGAACCGGUACUCAGCAGUUCGUGAACGACACUACACCCCUCCCUCCUCUGCCUGCCUCAAGUCGUUCUGAAGUUAUUCCUUUUGUUCACAGUCUGAUUAUUACAUGUCCUUCAUUUGCUGUGAGCAAAUCACAAGACUCCGCCCACCCACUUGCUCGCUGGCUAGCUGUGUGUCUUGCUGAGUUAUUUUAUCAUGAACUUUGUGCUCCUUUUGCCUUUGUGUUUUAACGUGGUCAUGUUCCAACAUUCAGUCGACAAGUUUUCUCCCAGCAUAUCCAGUCUAGCUUGAUUUCCUGUGUUUUCCCACCUCUCUGAAUGUGUGCUCUGCCCUUCCUGUCUUCACCUGUGCCGUCUUGUCUUGCCUGUGUCUGUUCGCUCAUUAGCCAGUAUGUGUUCAGACUCUGAGUUUCUGUGCUCUGUGUCAAACCUGCCUGCAUCUUUGUGAAACCACCUUGUGCUCUCCAUGGUUUCUCCUGUUGGACUUUUUGGUUUUUGUUUGAGUAAGUUCCCUUAUCUUUCCUUUCAGCUUUUGUUAAAUUUAUGUUUUGAAGGGUUCACUGGAUGUACUGUUUUACAACAGCAUGUUAUCCGUGUGUGGACGAGACCCAAAACUACGAGUGCGAGUGCAGAAAAACAUUAAAAGCAAAUAGCUGUAUAAGAAUGACAAACCAGUGUUAUGAACAGGUUUAUAUGUAACAUGGGACAGUGACCUCAAUCAUUGCAUUCACAGGUAGGACACAGGCUACUGAAGGAUGUAACUUCCUCUCUUGCUCCCUAUCUGAUUACCUACAGAGUGUAUGAGAUGCUGUUUGCAAGACAUACACAAGGGGCACAAAGCAGGUGGGAUGAUGGACUUACUCUUUCAGCAGGCAAUUUCAUUACGAUGAAAAAUACCCUAAAAUAUUUACAAAUAUACUUGGGUGGCCUGUCUAGGUUGUCUAAUAUUAAAUGUGAUGAAAAUACAAAAACUGAGACAGACUGAUGAGCUUUAGACCGAGGCCUCGUUUAUGCAUACCUGGUUAUUUUUAAAAACGAAGAUAUUAACCAUCAUUUGCACCCUUCGAUUAGACGCAAACGGAGAAUUUGCCCCUGAAAACAAUGCUUUUUUAAAAACUCUGGCCACAGUGAAGAUUUUGGAAAACUCUGUUUGCACUUUUGCAUGUAAACAGAAAAAAGCUGAGAUUUGCGUAGCCGACAGCAAAUUGUGUGCCAGAAACUGGGUUAAACACGAUGUGUUGUUAAAUAGCAGUUGCAUUUAUGCUGGUGCAAUCCCUUUGUAUUUGUUUGCAUUUGAAAUACAAGUGCUGUACUAUGUGGAGGAGCAGAGACGACUGAGUGCUCAAAGGUCAGCAAUGUUGCAGCAACUUCUCCCUCCAACCAUAGAGUGCGUCCAGGUCUCUGCCAGCCUCGCCGGUUUUGGGACUGGGCGCACUGCUGUCUGGUGGGAGAACUUCUAAAAAAUAAGUGGUUCUGCCGGAGGUGUGGUGUGAAAAUUUCCGGAUGUCGGCAAAUAUACACUGGUUAGUGUAAACGAAAACUUCUCUAAAAACGUUGUGGUGUGCACGCGUUUUUUUUUUUUUUUUUGUAAACAGAGAGGGUGAAAUCUAAAGUCUAAAAUAUGUUUUUCCAUGGUUGACGAUAACAGAGCUCCUUCCAUAACAGUUAUUAGUGCUUACAAUUUCUGCCAGUGUUGUCUGUGUCCUCCCUCCUCUUCCAGUUUUAUUUUGUCCACCCUCAGCAACGGUUUUGAAGCAGAGUAACUGCAAUCAUGUGUUCUACCUCAUAAAAUCUCUUUUCAUCCAUUGAAUGCUUCAAGGAGCUUUGACAAAUCAUAUAGUACACUAAAGCAAGCAUUAUAGAUGACCCCUGCAGAUUUAUAAGCCUAUAAUAAGCUCCUAUGGAAAGUGUUUGCCUGUGAAAUGGGGUAGAAUUAUAGGGGAUUAACCACAAAGUAACCCUAUUCACAUCUAUUGUCAUUACAUCUGUCUCCUCUUCUCUUUUGUCCUUCUUUAAUUUCCUCUCCUUCUCGUCCCCUCUGUCCCUCUCCUCUUGUGAUGAUGAAUUUAUAAACCUGUCAUCCUCGCCUCUCUCCCCUCCGCCUUGUCUCCUAACUUCUUCCCUUCAUUUAGUUCCUCCUUCCAUCUAUUCUUCUGUGCUCAUAAUGUCUUUGAUAAAGCCUGUCAGAUUAAUUAAUGUGAUUAACUCUGUGUGUCCUCGCUGACAACAGACCUUCAAAUUUUAGGACAUAAGUGUGGCACACUAACUGCUGGUAUGUAUGAUUGACUGAGUAAGGUGACGAAAUACAGAGCAGGUUGGCCUUUUUUGGGUGACUCAUACAAUCUGAGCUGGAUUUGACUGUCUAGCCAAGAUUGUGAAUAUAAUGAGCCUGUUGGGACAGAGCCUAAAACGUCGUAGAAGAAGUGUAGACACAUUAUGUAUCACAAUUUUUCAUGUUUUAAAAGUCCACUUUCUGAAUCGUGGGGUCUUUGUCAGAGUUACCUGCAGAGAUGAUAUAAAAGUGAAGCACUUAUUCUGGUGUGUGCAAAUUGUCCCAGACCUCAGAGAUAUCAUGUUGGCAUGUGGUCAAGGGGAUAGUCACACACAGGCAGGAUGUGUGUGAAACAGAGAAAGCAACAAAACUGGAACUCCUGAAGAAUGUGUCACAUUAACUGGGAACCACUGGACAACAGUGCUGGACCCCAAUGAUCUUUGAAUAACUGCGCACCAUUUGGUGCUGGGUCAUCCUGGAAAAACAGAACAAUGUGUUUUUCUAAUAAUAAGCACGAUAAAGCUGUCUCUGACCUCUAAGUCAAACUACACUGGUGUGGCGAUGCAUUAUUUCUUUAUUUUUUAAAUGGACAGGUUGAUGGGUUAUGAUGUGAUGGAUAAUGUCAAGGGUUCAGAACAGAACCCAAACAUGGUGAGAAGGACCCAAUUUUCCUGUCUCACUUUGAACAGGUUCCUCUUUACCAUAAUAAUCCACUAAUAAAUUAUCCCCUUUUUUGCACAGCCACUUAGUUUCUGCAGCUGAGCUGUUAUAGAGGACAAUGAAACCCAAAAGAAGAGACCUCAGCGUAAAACAUCAGAACCAGCUGGGCAGAAUAACGCUGAGUGUGUGCAUGUUUGAGCAUGUAAGCAUGAGUCUCCUGUGGUUAGUUUACAAGUUAUGUUUCUGGUGCUUCUGAAAAGGUCAUAACAGAAAACCAGUAUUUCCGUAUGGAGCUGUCGACUUCAUGUUCAAAUGUGUGUAAUCACUACUGAAUAUACUUGUAAGGGUGAACUUCAUGUGCUGACCUCAGUUUUGCAGAUUUUGAUGUUAUAGCCUGAAGCUCUUGUCCAUAUCCCCCCCUGAUAACCUCAUAUCUCUAUUUUUCACGGUAACCAAACCAACUACAAAUGCAUUUAUUCUACAGGUUGAACUAUAUGAAUCUGUUUCGUUUUAUUCAUUUCUCUUUAAUGCUGUUAUCUCUGAAUAAAUUGAUCAUAUUCGUAUAUGUUGCGUAUACUAUCAGUGCUGGUGAGUAAUGAAGAGAAUAGGUUUGAGGCUUAAGGUGGUUAGAUGUGACAGAGAGAGAUGACAUACCGCAUGCUUAACCUGGCAGGGGACAACAUUAGAUCAGGGUCCAUUGCAUAAAGGAUCUUUGAUGAAAAGACCACCCAUGGUCUUUUACAUUAUUCUUUAGGUAUGUCCAGGGCUUCUUUUCUCAUUAACCCUGGGCUACCAUUAUGCCCUACCUUGAGAUUAAUGUGGCUUCCAACUGCUUCAUUGUAAAUGGCUUCCUCCGGUGUAAGGCACAGGGAUUGUAGUGUUAGUUUCUAUGUCACAUUUCUAUUAAAAGGCUGUACUUGGUGCGUCGGGUAAAAAUAACUUAUUAACAUGGUGCCUAUAACCAAGCUAUAACACAUGCAAAUGCGGUAUAGGGUUACAGUCAAGUGUACAUUUAUCAAUAUCACCAUCUGUGCAAGACAGAUGAGUUUGUGGGCAGAAGACAGAGCAGAAGGCUGACUGUGUGACAGGAAGAGCAGUUAAAUGAUUGUCAGGUUUCCAGUGUGGAGCUCUCUAGUGUGAAUCCACAGGUGACUAACUGGUUUGUGUGAAUUAAUACUCAAGUGUUUAAUACCUCAAAACUAGUUAUAUUAAAAAAUGUUUCCUUAAACAUGCCAAACCUUUUCACUAUGUUUUGUAUUUACCUGGAAUAAUUGUAAAUGGAGGUUAAGAGCCCCUGUGGUAAUUUAAUGGAGUAAAUUAAUUAAUUAAAAUACAAUAAAAACAUGAUCAUGUAAUUUGAGAUGUUGCUUUUCAAGUACAGGUGACUUUCACUCAGUGUGUGAACCACAGAAUGCGCGCAUCGCUACUGCGCAGCGCUGGUUUCAGUAUAGAUGGGGGCUUUGAUUACAGUGACUUGUUGUCUAGCUCGUACAUUAUGGCCACUGAAUAUAUAGAUGAGCGGUCUCAAACCUAUGAAUAAAAGCAGUAACAAUCCUUUCUUUUUGGUAAAAUGGGGAGACUGGGAGUCAAACCAGCAACCACUGUAUCAAGGACUGAAGACCCUGUAAAUGGGCACACACUUAAAUGGUUAGGCUAACCCCAACCAUGGUACUAGUUGAGUGUCAUAAACUAGUUCUUCAUUCAAAACCCAGACCUGUCAUUUAAGGGUUAAAACUGGCCUGUGCUUAGCAACAUUAAGAGGAGGUGUCCUAUCAAGUGGCUCUUCCAGUGUAUUAUGAAAUGUAACUUUGAGAGUUUUGGUGCAGCACUCAGCACAUAAGACAGUGUGAAAACAUUUCCUGAUGUUUUUUACACAUUUGACUCAAAAACUAUGAGUCUAUGAAAUAAGUCUUUAUUCGUGGAUAACCCUGAAUAGUUAACUAUACCCCUGCCUUUGGUAUUUCACAACAGUAGUAUGAUAGAAGGCUGUGUCACUAUAUUCUUAGUCCGAUACAAUGUACUCAAAAUAAAAUACAUAAUACAGAAUAAAGCCUCUUGCCAAAGAUGAAAUAAUAAGAAACAAAAGAUAGUGUAACCACAGUCCUCUUAUCUCCUGUGUGGCGCUUCAUAACAGCUUUUAUUCUCGCCCUGAACUGUUGCAUUGAGUACCUAAACUGUAUUGUGCCUCAAGAGCUCUAAUAGGAAAAUAGCAGCUGACUUGAUUUACAUAAGUGGCCUUAAUAAAUCAGGCACCGAGCUGAGUUAAGCCGCUUGUUAAGUUUUGCACAAAGGAGUAAUUAACAUGCCUCCUAAACACAUUUGUGAUGGAUUUGUUGACUGCUGAAAGGAGGUUUUUGGUGUUCUUUGCUUAUUUACCAGCUAGAACGUGGGUCUAUUUUUAGGUACUUCAAUCUUAAGCUCUUUCUGUGUCUGUCUCCAAUGGAAGUGUAUGUGUGUGCGUAUAUGCGUGUGUGUAAGUGUGCCUGUUUGACCUCCGAAGCCAGGUUUUCAGCUCCCAGCAGCACAUGUAUGAUGGAUGAAAUUGUGGAUGACUGAGUGGCAGGCUCAUGGCUAAAACCAGGUUUUCAGUGCAGAACACUCAUAUAUAACAUGCGUGUGGGUGACAGUCUGAGAGAUGUGCUGAAUUUUAAACAUAGCUACACCUCCUCAUAAAGGCUGCAUUCACCCAGGAGCAGAAAACAUAACCGUGAGAGAAUAUUUUAUCACUUCACAUACAGUAUAUACAUGUUAUAUUACAGCACUGAAUGUAGAGGGGAACAUUUGGAGAAAAUAAUAAAUUUUUCAAUCUUAUUAUUUUUUAAAAAAUGAUUUUUAACAAACUAUAAUUUCUUACAACAAGCUGCCACUUUGACUCAUUCAAACUGUGAUUACUGAAAACAUUGUUUUUUCAACAGUAAAAGAAACUCUUCGUAAAUUUACCCUAGAAGUGACCAAUUACAAGCCAAUGCCCUUAUCCAUCUUUCUUUAUUGUUACAAAGUACAAAUGAUGCCAUAGUAGUUGAGAGUUGUGACUCCUAAUUGAGACCACAAACCCAGAAAAUACUAUUAACUAAGGUUGAGAAUUGUCCCAAGGGAACAAUGAAGCGUAUCUUAUUGAAUCGUGUCAUUCAGUGGCUGAAGGGGGAGCCAAGUUGUCAAUACUAUAUACAGUCUUACACCUCCUAUCAAACCGCAUUUUACUAGCAGCAGACAGUGGUUUCCAGAAAAUCUGUUCUGAUUAGCAAAAAAAAAAACCAAAGGUGCUGGGGGCUCGGCUGCCUUCUACUGACCAUUACAGAACAACAACUGAAAAACAACAGUCAAAUGAGGUAGAUAAGAUCUCCCUUGCCUUCUGCCAACAAACUCAGCUUUUUUUUUGUAAGAAAAUAAGCAUAUCAACUUUCUCUACAUGCAGCUGGGAUCUUUCUGGACAGAGAGUGUCACUGGUAGUUGAGAACACUCUCUCAGAUGCAGUUGAACUUGCCUGGACACAGAGGUAAGAGGAGGAAAGCUGAGCAAGUAAGAGGAGUCUGUCUCUCAUAGCAAACCACCAGUGGACAGGGUCAUGUGAGGUAGGAAUGGGAGGAAGUUCUUUGUAGAGUCCAAUUUCUUUAUGGACUCUUUCUUGGACAGUCAUUCCAUCCUGUUGCUUUUGGAGGAGCUUCCUUUGCAGCGCUUGGUCUUCAUCAGCGAAAAGGUUUGGGAAACUGAAACACAAAAGCAUACAGAAGAGCAUAGGGAUGGUUAAGUCAUGAAGUCAGUGUAUUGUUUUUCGACAGAGAACUAAUGUAGGGUUGGUUAUAGAAAUUAGGUUAAGUGAAUUUGUCAGAAAGGAGUGAUCAUAAGACAGGAGGAAGCUUUGAUUUAUAAUAUUGCCUGCCUGUAUACCAGCUUUGAAUACUUUUGAAUCCUCAUCUUAUAAAACCUUACCUAAACCGUGGACAGUCCAUGACUUAGAAUGACUGCCUCCUUUUUUUCCACAAAUUGUGUAGCUUUCUGGUGACAUUCCUCAAUGUCCUCCUUUGCCAUCUUCCCUGCUUGGCCAAAAUGAACUGAGUUACUGCCAUAAGUGGUGGAGGUUCAACACCACAAUGAAUGCUCCUGUCUGAAUGACUGGCGGUGAUGUUUGAGGCAGCGCCGGUAGCUGCGUACAGAAAAAAAAAAAAGUGUUUAAGGUUAGCUACCAUCAUUAACGUUAGCUAGCCACAGAAGCAAGGUUCUUGUUUAGUACCUCUGAGUCGCUUCAAAGGAGCUUAUCAGAGCUUAACUACAAGGCAAAGUCAAUAAUAUUAUAGUAUAAAUUAAUAAUAUAGCAAGUGAACAUUAGCGAUUGCUAGCUAGCUACCGUAGAUAACGCUAAAACAGUAUUUAUGGGUCAGCUAAUAUUAGCCAUUAUUUUUACACCAUUUAGAUUGAUAAUGUUAGCUAGCACUGAUCUCGACAUGACCGGGGGUGGAUGGUGGUGGGGACGAGCUAGCCAGACCCAGAGAUGGAGCUGUGGGAGCUGCGCUGCUGGUGCUAGCCUUUUGAAAACAAUUGAAGACACCACACUCUUUCAUGGUAAUGUUGUUGGUUAUCUUGCAGAGAACUGAUUUUGGCAAAUGUUGCAUGCAGCAGAGUCUGGUGUACUUUUAGAAAAGUGUACCCAAACUUUUGACUUAGCUCGCUGGGUCACCAUUUUGGUAUCUUGCUAGGUAGGCUGUGAAAGAAAUGAGUGCAGGGAGGGGCAUGGGCGGCCGUCAAGACGACACGCAAGAGUGCAUCCUGGAGUGUUUGAGUUUAACAGUGCUCAAGUACCGAUGUUACGUGGCACUGAUGCUAAAAAAUACCAGUCAAGACCACCCAUCCCUAGACACAGACCGCAUGCUUGAGGAUUAUAGCCUUCGACUUGAUCACUUGAAAAACCCAGGAGACAAAAAUUUUCCGUAAAUUAAUCAUGAUAGCAAGACAGAGGUAGGUUUUGGUUUUCAAUGACUGUCUCACAAAAUGCUGCAAGGGUUGAAUGAAAUGACACAUCAGUCAGCUCUCACAGUCACUCCUUUCUGAUUGGUGGCCUGUUUUACUGUCUUGUAGAUGGGUUAGAGAAGGGUUUAGAAGAUUCCCUUAGCUAUUUUGACUCCUUAUAGCCAUGAUGCCUUAUAGCCUUAUAGGCAUUUUUCUGUUACUUAAUCGUCAAAAAAAGAUCAUCUGCUAUGGAGUAAUAGCAUCAAACCGGUAGACCACACACGUUUUCUAAUCAAUCUUUGGGAUAUGAACACCGCAGAGGAAUGGGCUGAUUUAUCCUGUCCAAUGAAAUCUUGUGUAAAAUGUAAGUCACUGAGGUUCCUGGAGACCACCAUCAUCACCAGCUGUUCCAGGUGCCAGAUAUGAGCAUUUGUCUAAUUAAGAGUCCAACAGAGAUUUCACUCCUAAGGGAGUGAAGGCAGCACAAUGCUUUAUGAUUAAUCCCAAUUUUACAGAUCAGUAGUUUAAGGUCUAGUCAUUUAAAACCCACCAUGCGGAAAGUAAUGGAUUAAAUUCUAAAUCUUGUUUGGGAACUUUUUCUUUGUCUUUUUUUCCAUUAAGAGUCACCGUGGCCCCUUAACAAUGUUACUUUCAAUAAAUACAUUGGUGGAGUAGUACAACUGUAAAAAGUAUUUUUAAAGUAACAAAAGUACACUGAACUUCUUUCUGACAUUGUACUUUAUUAUUGUUUAACUCGGUUCACUUCCGAAGGUAGCUGUUCAAACUAGUUCACACGACUCAAUGCUGACGAGACUUGACUUCAGUUGAGCAAUGGCACCCCAGACACCUGAAUUCUUUGCUCCACUGGGAAGCUGCAUACACCUCUGCUUUUCUACCACCUUUUACCAAAGUCUACAAAGACCCUGAAAGCCUUUUAACAAGUGAAAAGAGGCAGAAAGUCUGACGUCUGUUUUUUUUUUUUUUUUAAGUUGAACGUGGGAGCAGUGUCAGUCAGCCGGUACCAUGCGACUUGUUCAGAAAGAGCAAGGGAGCGUGGGUGACAUCUCUUUCUGUCUCACUCUUUCACUCUCACUCAUUCUCCGUGUCAAUUUCCCCUCCUCUCUCAAUCUAGUUCUCUUUCUCUGACUAAACCGGGCUGUGAUGACUCUGUGACAGCUCCACAAAAAAGGACCAUUUUGAAGUUGAAAUGUGGGGUUCUUGUCAAGGGGAGCAGAGUGGGGGGCCUUUGUGUGGAAUGAGUCUAUGUGUGUGUCUCUGUGUGUGUAUGUGAGUUAGUAAAUGUGUGAUGCAAGCAAAGAGUGACAGGUGGUGGGCCGAGGGAGGGAAAGAGGAAGAGAAUAUAGAAAUGGCGUGACUGAUGGCUUGAUUGCCAAGGCCGAUUGAGACCCAAGAAGAUAUAAAAAGCAGUUAUAAUUAGGGCCCGAGCGUAGCUGCUAAGCAGCUGCGAGAGCCCUAUUAUUCCCCAAGUGGUUUUUCUUUGUUUCUUUUUAGGGCCCGAGCCAGCUGCAGAGCAGCCGGGCGUAGGCCCUAUUAUUCCCCAAGUGGUUUUUCUUUGUUUCUUUCUUUCUUUAGGGCCCGAGCGUAGCUGCUAAGCAGCUGCGAGAGCCCUAUUAUUCCCCAAGGGGUUUUUAGGGCCCGAGCGUAGCUGCUAAGCAGCUGCGAGAGCCCUAUUAUUCCCCAAGUGGUUUUUCUUUGUUUCUUUUUUCUUUUUCCUCCCCUUUGAACUGGAAAAUGGCCCACUUCCCACUGGCGAAAACUCAUGAAAUUUGGCAGGACGACCGGGCCUGGUGAAAAAUUUGAUAUUCCGAAGUCGCCCAAACAAGAAAAUGCAAAAUGGCUCCAUAGCGCCCCCUAAGGUGAAAAUUCACACUAUUGACUGUCACGCCUGUACGCUUUGUCAAAAUGACACAAAAAUUGACACACACAUGUAUCUCAAUAAGAUCUACAAAAAAGUCAGUGCGGGCGUAUCUGUCAAAUGUACGGUUAAAGGGUUAUUUCGCAUUUUUUGCCGAUCCGCACACAUUGGAAUUUCGCUAACUCCUCCGAAGGCUUUCGUUCCACCGGCAACACAUUUGCUCAGGCCAAUCUACACCCCAUGGCCAUUAAAAGUUAUUCAAAUGAUGACGCUGCACCCCACGGUUUAGGUUCUAGGGGGCGCCAAAGAUAACCCUAAAAUCCACAUUUUUAAAAGUCUUAUAACUUUUUAUUUUUGCCCUCACUGGCCUCCAAGUUUUCUAGGAUGAUGCAAUGUCCAGCCAUCAACACAUUUGUGAAGGAAUUUUUACUCCCCAAAAGAGCGCCCCCCCAUGGCAGGAGAAAAAAGUCCAUUUUUUCUUGUCCCCUAAGGUGAAAAUACACAUUGUUGAGUGUCACGCCUGUACGCUUUGUCAAAAUGACACAAAAAUUGACACACACAUGUAUCUCAAUAAGAUCUACAAAAAAGUCCAUGCGCGCGUAUCUGUCUAAUGUACGGUUAAAGGGUUAUUCCGCAUUUUUUGCCGAUUCGCACACAUUGGAAUUUCGCUAACUCCUCCGAAGGCUUUCGUUCCACCGGCACCACAUUUGCUCAGGCCAAAUUACACCCCAUGGCCAUUAAAAGUUAUUCAAAUCAUGACGCUGCACCCCACGGUUUACGUUCUAGGGGGCGCCAAAGAUAACCCAAAAAUCCACAUUUUUAAAAGUCUUUUAACUUUUUAUUUUUGUCCUCACUGGCCUCCAAGUUUUCUAGGAUGAUGCAAUGUCCAGCCAUCAACACAUUUGUGAAGGAAUUUUUACUCCCUAAAAGAGCGCCCCCCCAUGGCAGGAGAAAAAAGUCCAUUUUUUCUUGUCCCCUAAGGUGAAAAUACACAUUGUUGACUGUCACGCCUGUACGCUUUGGCAAAAUGACACAAAAAUUGACAAUCAUGUGUAUCUCAAUUAGAUCUACGAAAAAGUCCAUGCGCGCGUAUCUGUAUAAUGUACGGUAAAAGGGCUAUUUUGCAUUUUUUGCCAAUUCGCACACAUUGGAAUUUCGCUAACUCCUCCUAAGGCCUUCGUCCCACUGACACCAAAUUUGCUCAGGCCAAUCUACACUCCAUGGCCAUUCAAAGUUGUAAAAAUCAUGACGCUGCACCCCACGGUUUACGUUUUAGGGGGCGCCAAAGAUGACCCAAAUAUACAUUACAGUAGACAAAGUAGUUUUGCCCACUGAGUGGCGCCAAAGGGACUUGUCUGUGGAGUCUGUGAGUCACUAUUGGCCGUUUUUGACUACUUUAGAUUUUACCUUUAUAUUUCCUCUUACAAAAUUUUUACCUUGCCUUGCCUGGUAUCAUUUUUUUCAGCACAACCUCACCUGUGUCAAUUUACAGUUAUUUUAUCAUUUUGACAUACUAUAUUUACACAUUGGACCCAAAUUCACACACAAAACAUAAAAUCCGAGUGGAAAAAAGUAACGUUUUUACUGUGAAAACCACAAAUAUGUGUGAUGAACUGUUUUUAAAACUUAAACUUCAAAUAAAAAUUGUAAACUUCAAAACAUAUGCAAAUUUUUAACAAAGAACAUAGUAAUUUACCUCUAUUGACAUCAAAAUGCAGGCAAUGGCCCAGGUGUUCUUUGUAAAAUUAUUUACAAAACACUGUAUAGUCUCACAAAUGUCACUUUUUAUUUAUGCCACUACAAAAAAACAUGAUGUAAAUGAUGCAUGAUGUAAAACAUGAUGUAAAAAACUUGUGUAGAUCCUCCUCUAUGUUAGUCCAUGUGUAAUUUUUCCAUAAUUCUUUGUUUUUUGCAGCAUUUUUGUUAGUGUAACUGCAGAUUGUGCUGACAGUGUCUAUGGCAAAAAAAAAAAAAAAAAAACUGAAAAUGCCUCAACAUGAACCCCUGGUGGUCUCUGAGGGUGAAACCUGCUAACUGCUGCAGCUCUGUCAGCUUCAGUCUCCCAUGCAGAGCUCGGAGCGCAUGUGUGGCUCUGCACCCUUAGCAGUGUUGCUAACUCCUCAGUAAGGAAAGCCUGCUUCAUGUCAGAGUCUCUAAACUCCAGAAGAAGUCGAUAAAAGUCCCUUUCUUUCUAAAAAAAAGUCGUUAGGGGGUCUGAAAAGUCAUUGAAUCUAACAACAAAGUCGCUAGGUUUGCAACUACGUGUCCCAGACUGCAUCCCUGCUGAGAGUCCCUCCCUCCCUUCUCAUAUUGCAGGAAGAACGUAAGUUCCCGCCCCUUGUCAAUCAGUCACCAUAUAAUUUUGGAUUGGUUGUUGUGGUGAAGUUUUCCACCAAUAGGAGAGAUGUUGUGGUGUGUUUUUUUUUUCCUUUGGCAAGCCUUUUCCGCCUGUAAGACCUGUCGCUAAUGUCUGCAUGCUAUGUUUUCCUGUCUCAUACAGCGCGAUCGAGCGCCGAACGUGAUCAAAAUAAGCAGAAAACAAGUAUCGCGGACAUAAUUUAUCAUAACUCUGGUUUUAUUUGGCCUAUCAACACAAUUUAAAAACUGGUAUAUAGGUUGAGGUCCUCACUUUUGAGAUAAGUUGAAACGGAGAGUCAACGAGGCUCCGUCUUGCUGCUACAUCCGAUUAAAUAUGUCAUGUGACUUGAACGCACACACAGACACACACACACGCACACACACACACACACUCAGAGUCUGGUUUUUAGCACCUGCAAAAACAUGCUAUUUACAUAUUUGACAAGAAUGCAGAGGCUCCUUUUGCCCCUGAAAAAAAUCAAAUUUCAAACACAACUUGACUGGUCAUUUCUCCAAAAGACAACCAUGAAGCUCCAUCCAAACCUGAAGCAGGCAGUUGGUGCAUGUGUACAGUAACCUGAGGGGAGUGAGGUGACUGCUUCUGAGGAGAACAUGAGCAGUGAAGAUUCACCUUAGAGCUAGAACAGAGACGUGCACAUGAUUAUACAGGGGCAGGGGCUCAAGUUUUUUCCAGUUGUUUAUACAAUAUGGAAAUUAAUGUGAAAUUAAAAAACAAAGUAUUAAUAGAAAGGUAAUGACUGUCCUGUGUAGGUGACAGUGAUAUCCAAUAGGCUAGGCACUCACGAGGCUGGCUGUGGCAAGUGUAAGUGAAAGCAACACGCACUGGCAGGAAGAACAGCAAACGCGUGUGAAGGAAAAGGGUCUUUGCAGUGAUGGGCGUUACCAGAGAGGGCGAUGGCCAGAGGACACAAAUGGGACGGGGAGGCAGCGCGUUGGGGGGGGGACGCGACACAGCUCGGGCCCGCCAGUGCCCCAACGGGGUCCUAGUUCUUUCUUUCUUUCUUCUUUUUCCUCCCCUUUGAACUGGAAAAUGGCCCACUUCCCACUGGCGAAAACUCAUGAAAUUUGGCAGGACGACCGGGCCUGGUGAAAAAUUUGAUAUUCUGAAGUCGCCCAAACAAUACAAUGCAAAAUGGCUCCAUAGCGCCCCCUAAGGUGUAAAUUCACACUAUUGACUGUCACGCCUGUACGCUUUGUCAUAUUGACACAAAAAUUGACACACAUAUGUAUCUCAAUAAGAUCUACAAAAAAGUCAGUGCGGCCGUAUCUGUCAAAAUUACGGUUAAAGGGUUAUUUCGCAUUUUUUGCCGAUCCGCACACAUUGGAAUUUCGCUAACUCCUCCGAAGGCUUUCGUUCCACCGGCACCACAUUUGCUCAGGCCAAUCUACACCCCGUGGCCAUUAAAAGUUAUCAAAAUCAUGACGCUGCACCCCACGGUUUAGGUUCUAGGGGGUGCCAAAGAUAACACUAAAAUCCACAUAUUUAAAAGUCUUAUAACUUUUUAUUUUUGUCCUCACUGGCCUCCAAGUUUUCUAGGAUGAUGCAAUGUCCAGCCAUCAACACAUUUGUGAAGGAAUUUUUACUCCCCAAAAGAGCGCCCCCCCAUGGCAGGAGAAAAAAGUCAAUUUUUUCUUGUCCCCUAAGGUGAAAAUACACAUUGUUGAGUGGCACGCCUGUACGCUUUGGCAAAAUGACACAAAAAUUGACACACACAUGUAUCUCAAUAAGAUCUACAAAAAAGUCUGUACUCGCGUAUCUGUCAAAUGUACGGUUAAAGGGUUAUUCCGCAUUUUUUGCCGAUACGCACACAUUGGAAUUUCGCUAACUCCUCCGAAGGCUGGCAUUCCACCGGCACCACAUUUGCUCAGGCCAAUCUACACCCCAUGGCCAUUAAAAGUUAUUCAAAUCAUGACGCUGCACCCCACGGUUUAGGUUCUAGGGGGCGCCAAAGAUAACCCUAAAAUCCACAUAUUUAAAAGUCUUAUAACUUUUUAUUUUUGUCCUCACUGGCCUCCGAGUUUUCUAGGAUGAUGCAAUGUCCAGCCAUCAACACAUUUGUGAAGGAAUUUUUACUCCCCAAAAGAGCGCCCCCCCAUGGCAGGAGAAAAAAGUCCAUUUUUUCUUGUCCCAUAAGGUGAAAAAACACAUUGUUGACUGUCAUACCUGUACGCUUUGUCAUAUUGACACAAAAUUUGACAAUCACAUGUAUCUCAAUAAGAUCUACGAAAAAGUCAAUGCGCGCGUAUCUGUAAAAUGUACGGUUAAAGGGCUAUUUUGCAUUUUUUGCCGAUUCGCACACAUUGGAAUGUGGCUAACUCCUCCUAAGGCUUUCGUCCCACUGACACCAAAUUUGCUCAGGCCAAUCUACACCCCAUGGCCAUUCAAAGUUGUAAAAAUCAUGACGCUGCACCCCACGGUUUACGUUCUAGGGGGCGCCAAAGAUGACCCAAAUAUCCACAUUCUUAAAAGAAUCCACAUCCCCCCCCCCAUCCCCCAUCCCCCAUGGCAGGAGAAACAGUCAAGUUUUUCCUGCCCAUCACUGAAUGGCUCAAUCGCAUCACUCUCCCGGCAACACCGUAACGAGGAGCAACUUGCCGUUUGGAUAUAUCCUAGCUGUGUUUGUGCCCUCACUCAUGGUCCAGACUUUUUUCAAAUAGGACAUGUAGUUUGUCUGCAGCGUGUGUUUUGGUAGAAACUGCGCCUCCCAUUCAUUAUAAUGGGAAAUGACCACAGACAAGUGCGCACACCAUCUUUGGACCUUGAGUGUGACGCGAUCGGGAGGGGGAGGCGGUCGCGCUGGGGGCGGCGCAACGCGGCUCGGGCCCGACAGUGCCCCACCGGGGUCCUAGUUCUUUGUUUCUUUCUUUCUUUCUUUCUUCUUUUUCCUCCCCUUUGAACUGGAAAAUGGCCCACUUCCCACUGGCGAAAACUCAGGAAAUUUGGCAGGACGACCGGGCCUGGUGAAAAAUUCGAUAUUCUGAAGUCGCCCAAACAAUAAAAUGCAAAAUGGCUCCAUAGCGCCCCCUAAGGUGGAAAUUCACACUAUUGACUGUCACGCCUGUACGCUUUGUCAUAUUGACACAAAAAUUGACACACAUAUGUAUCUCAAUAAGAUCUACAAAAAAGUCAGUGCGGGCGUAUCUGUCAAAUGUACGGUUUAUGGGUUAUUUUGCAUUUUUUGCAGAUCUGCACACAUUGGAAUUUCGCUAACUCCUCCGAAGGCUUUCUUUCCACCGGCACCACAUUUGCUCAGGCCAAUCUACACCCCGUGGCCAUUAAAAGUUAUUCAAAUCAUGACGCUGCACCCCACGGUUUAGGUUCUAGGGGGCGCCAAAGAUAACACUAAAAUCCACAUAUUUAAAAGUCUUAUAACUUUUUAUUUUUGUCCUCACUGGCCUCCAAGUUUUCUAGGAUGAUGCAAUGUCCAGCCAUCAACACAUUUGUGAAGGAAUUUUUACUCCCCAAAAGAGCGCCCCCCAUGGCAGGAGAAAAAACUCCAUUUUUUCUUGUCCCCUAAGGUGAAAAUACACAUUGUUGACUGUCACGCCUUUACGCUUUGUCAAAAUGACACAAAAAUUGACACACACAUGUAACUCAAUAAGAUCUACGAAAAAGUCAAUGCGCGCGUAUCUGUCAAAUGUACGGUUAAAGGGUUAUUCCGCAUUUUUUGCCGAUCCGCACACAUUGGAAUUUCGCUAACUCCUCCGAAGGCUUUCUGUCCACCGGCACCACAUUUGCUUAGGCCAAUCUACACCCCAUGGCCAUUAAAAGUUAUUCAAAUCAUGAUGCUGCACCCCACGGUUUAGGUUCUAGGGGGCGCCAAAGACAACCCUAAAAUCCACAUUCUUAAAUGUUUUAUAACUUUUUAUUUUUGUCCUCACUGGCCUCCAAGUUUUCUAGGAUGAUGCAAUGUCCAGCCAUCAACACAUUUGUGAAGGAAUUUUUACUCCCCAAAAGAGCGCCCCCCAUGGUAGGAGAAAAAAGUCAAUUUUUUCUUGUCCCCUUACAUAAAAAUACACAUUGUUGAGUGUCACGCCUGUACGCUUUGUCAUAUUGACACAAAAAUUGACAAUCACGUGUAUCUCAAUAAGAUCUACGAAAAAGUCAAAGAGCGCGUAUCUGUAUAAUGUACGGUUAAAGGGCUAUUUUGCAUUUUUUGCCGAUUCGCACACAUUGGAAUGUGGCUAUCUCCUCCUAAGGCUUUCGUCCCACCGAUACCAAAUUUGCUCAGGGCAAUCUACACCCCAUGCCCAUUCAAAGUUGUAAAAAUCAUGACGCUGCACCCCACGGUUUACGUUCUAGGGGGCGCCAAAGAUGACCCAAAAAUCCACAUUCUUAAAAGUCAUUUUGGCCACUGCAGGAGUACAGAGUACUGCAGUUCUAGGGGGCGCCAAAGAUGACCCAAAAAUCCACAUUCUUAAAAGUCUUUUUGGCCACUGCAGGAGUACAGAGUACUGCAGGAUACACACACAUAUACACACACGCCAACAUACACACACACACACACACACACACACACACACACACACACACACACACACACACACACUCAGAGUCUGUUUUUUAGCACCUGCAAAAACAUGCUGUUUACAUAUUUGACAAGAAUGCAGAGGCUUCCUUUUGCCCCUGAAAAAAAUCAAAUUUCAAACACAACUUGACUGUUCAUUUCUCCAAAAGACAACCAUGAAGCUCCAUUUCAAACCUGAAGCAGAUAGUUGGUGCAUGUGUACAGUAACCUGAGGGGAGUGAGGUGACUAUUUCUGAGGAGAACAUGAGCAGUGAAGAUUCACCUUGGAGCUAGAACAGGGAUGUGCACAUGAUUAUACAGGGGCAGGGGCUCAAGUUUUUUCCAGUCAUUUAUACAAUAUGGAAAUUAAUGUGAAAUUAAACCACAAAUAUGUGUGAUGAACUGUUUUUAAAACUUAAACUUCAAAUAAAAAUUGUAAACUUCAAAACAUAUGCAAAUUUUUAACAAAGAACAUAGUAAUUUACCUCUAUUUACAUCAAAAUGCAGGCAAUGGCCCAGGCGUUCUUUGUAAAAUUAUUUACAAAACACUGUAUAGUCUCACAAAUGUCACUUUUUAUUUAUGCCACUACAAAAAAACAUGAUGUAAAUGAUGCAUGAUGUAAAACAUGAUGUAAAAAACUUGUGUAGAUCCUCCUCUAUGUCAGUCCAUGUGUAAUUUUUCCAUAAUUCUUUGUUUUUUGCAGCAUUUUUGUUAGUGUAACUGCAGAUUGUGCUGACAGUGUCUAUGGCACAAAAAAAAAAAAAAAUUAAAAUGCCUCAACAUGAACCCCUGGUGGUCUCUGAGGGUGAAACCUGCUAACUGCUGCAGCUCUGUCAGCUUCAGUCUCUCAUGCAGAGCUCUGAGUGCAUGUGUGGCUCUGCACCCUUAGCAGCGUUGCUAACUCCUCAGUAAGGAAAGCCUGCUUCAUGUCAGAGUCUCUAAACUCCAGAAGAAGUCGAUAAAAGUCCCUUUCUUUCUAAAAAAAAGUCGUUAGGGGGUCUGAAAAGUCAUUGAAUCUAACAACAAAGUCGCUAGGUUUGCAACUACGUGUCCCAGACUGCAUCCCUGCUGAGAGUCCCUCCCUCCCUUCUCAUGUUGCAGGAAGAACGUAAGCGCCCUCCCCUUGUCAAUCAGUCACCAUAUAAUUUUGGAUUGGUUGUUGUGGUGAAGUUUUCCACCAAUAGGAGGGAUGUUGUGGUGUGUUUUUUUUUUCUUUUGGCAAGCCUUUUCCGCCUGUAAGACCUGUCGCUAAUGUCUGCAUGCUAUGUUUUCCUGUCUCAUACAGCGCGAUCGAGCGCUGAACGUGAUCAAAAUAAGCAGAAAAAAAGUAUCGCGGACAUAAUUUAUCAUAACUCUGGUUUUAUUUGGCCUAUCAACACAAUUUAAAAACUGGUAUAUAGGUUGAGGUCCUCACUUUUGAGAUAAGUUGAAACGGAGAGUCAAUGAGGCUCCGUCUUGCAGCUACAUCCGGUUAAAUAUGUCAUGUGACUUGAACGCACACACAGACACACACACACGCACACACACACACACACACACACACACACACACACACACACACACACACACACACUCAGAGUCUGGUUUUUAGCACCUGCAAAAACAUGCUAUUUACAUAUUUGACAAGAAUGCAGAGGCUCCUUUUGCCCCUGAAAAAAAAAUCAAAUUUCAAACACAACUUGACUGGUCAUUUCUCCAAAAGACAACCAUGAAGCUCCAUCCAAACCUGAAGCAGGCAGUUGGUGCAUGUGUACAGUAACCUGAGGGGAGUGAGGUGAGUGCUUCUGAGGAGAACAUGAGCAGUGAAAAUUCACCUUGGAGCUAGAACAGAGACAUGCACAUGAUUAUACAGGGGCAGGGGCUCAAGUUUUUUCCAGUCGUUUAUACAAUAUGGAAAUUAAUGUGAAAUUAAAACACAAAGUAUUAAUAGAAAGGUAAUGACUGUCCUGUGUAGGUGACAGUGAUAUCGAAUAGGCUAGGCACUCACGAGGCUGGCUGUGGCAAGUGUAAGUGAAAGCAACACGCACUGGCAGGAAGAACAGCAAACGCCGAUGAAGGAAAAGGGUCUUUGCAGUGAUGGGCGUUACCAGAGAGGGCGAUGGCCAGAGGACACAAAUGGGACGGGGAGGCAGCGCGUUGGGGGGGGGACGCGACACAGCUCGGGCCCGCCAGUGCCCCAACGGGGUCCUAGUUAGGGCCCGAGCGUAGCUGCUAAGCAGCUGCGAGAGCCCUCUUGUUCCUGAUGGAUUCUUCUUUUGUUAUUAUUAUUAUUAUUAUUUUUCCUCCGCUUUAAACUGGAAAAUGGCC